UUUUUUCUUUUUGUUUAUCUUCAUGGCAAAGCAAUAACCUCCUCCUUAUUUAACUUUGGAGUAGCAAUUUUAAAUGUAAUAUGGUUGCAAUUGAACAAUCAAACUCAAUUGAUAAUGGUAUUCACCUAUUACUCUUAUUGUUAAUUUUCACAUCUGACCGAUGUUCUUCUCUGGGAAUCCUAAGAAUGAUAUACACCAUUGAUUUAAUCACUUUAUGGUGGUUAACACUUUUCAUUCUUGAAAUGAUGCUUAACAUUUAUAUAAGUUUCCUAUAUGUCUCUAAAGGUUGGCAUUGCAAUGGCACAAUGGUUUAAUAAUAACGAUUUGUGUAAAUUGAAAUAUUCUUUUGACAUCUUCAAGCAUAUAUUUAGAUAUGUUAACAAUUGUGAUAAUACCUUCCUACAAUUGCAUCAUUUUUGUCAAAUAUCCUUUAAAUUAAUGAUACAAUUUAGUAUUUGCUUCCGAAACCUCUUGCUUUAUGUGGAGCUAAAUAUGUAUGUUUACUUUUCAUUUUUAUAACAAAAGAUUUCCUAUUAUUUUUUCUAUAUCUUUUAUUACUUAGCCUAUUGCCACAUGAUGGCAUUUAUAAUUAUGUCAUAUAGUAAAAUCAAUCUUCAUUCUUUAUAGCAACAAUCAUACAUAUGCAUAUAUGUGGGAUGUGAUAGACUUAGCUAUACAUAUAAGUGAUCUCAAACUUGAAUUUCAAUCAUUGCAGGUAAUGCUAAGUCAAACUUUUGACUACAUCUUUGUAAAACUUCUUGUGAAGGUUUGUAAGUUAAUUCUAACAAACUUGUAACUAUUUUAAAGUUCUUUAUUCCAAAAUGUGUGAAUAAUAUGCAAUGCUUCCUAUAUAAGAUGCAAUAUCUUGGUUAUUUUAUUGAUCAUCUUUUUUAUUAUAUUUCACCAUUAUGAGUGUUGCUGAAGUUGUCAAUAUUAUCUUUCAUUUAGUCUAAAAAUUGUGAGUAGGCAUUUGUGAAUUUCAAAGAGCUAUUGAUGAAUUUUCAAAUUUGGCAUAUUCUAAAUACACUUAACCUUUGAUUUUGUGCUUGGAUACUUUUUAUAUCAAUCUUGAAAGUGUGUUAAUGUAAAAAAGCACAAAAGUGUUUGAUUAGCAUCAUCUUAUUACAUAUAUCAACCAUACAUUACAACCAUUAAAGGUAAAACAGUCACAAUAGAGAAAGAGUCUUUUUGAACAUUACUAAAAUGCAAUCAUGCUAUGGUUACUUUGUUAUUGAAGUGAAAAGACUUUAUUAGUUGUAUUAUUCGGUAGACUCUAAAACUUCAAAUAUAUGGUUAUUCAUUGCCCAAUGAAUUUUAUAGUUGAUGUUGACACCCUUUCUUAAGCUUUUAUCCCUUCUUCACUCUCUUAUUCUAUUUUUGAUGAGUCUAUUUGUAGCACACCUUAUUUCUCUCCCCUUAAGCCAAUUGGAAAAGGGGCAAUUGCUUGAUGAGAGAGCCUUUAAUGGCUAUUUUAUCCCCAUUUAUCCCCCAAGGUUCUAAGGAUCCAUGGUGACAGUAUAUCCAAAUUUCAUCCCAUGAUCACAUGCGCUACACUCACCCCCCAUUCAGAGAUGUCAAUUGAUUAACAACCCCUAUUGAGCCAAGGGGAACCAACACCUCCAUUUCUGCACUAAAUCUACUAAUCCUUCCAUAUGCAUGGAUGCUCAAUAUGUACGAUUUCAAAUUUAGGGGUAGGAAUAUACUUUAUUCAAGGGUAUAUUAUACUUUUUUAAGUAGCCACUAAUCAAUGGAAAUUGAACCUAUGUCAUUUUCUCUGAUACUAACUAUAACACACCUUAUCUUUCUCCUCUUAAGCCAAUUGGAAAAAGGGCAAUUGCUUGAUGAGAAAGCCCUUAGUGGCUAUUUUAUCCCCAUUUAUCCCCCAAAGUUCCAAGGAUCCACGAUAAUAAUAUAUCCAAAUCUCAUCCCAUGAUCACAUGCGCUACACUAUUGUUUUAAUAUCAAUGGAUGUUUUGGAUAAAGAUUUUGUGUUAUUAGUAGUUGUUAUAUUUGAUAUUUAGUGUUCAUACGAUGUGGAGCAAGAUUAAAAGUUCGUGAGGCUCAAAAAGUUGAGUUAUAAAUCCAAAAGCUUUAUGAAGGGUUUGAGAAUUUUACAUCAUUUGUUGAUGAUUUGAAGUUUUAACAUUUAUAUUUUCAAUAUCACUUAAGAACAACCUUCUUUAUUUUAGAGACUAAUCCUAAUGAUCAUUUACAGUUGGUAUGUAAGUAACCAAAGAGACCGACUCUGAGAUCGAGUUCGAGAUAGAGUCCAGGAUCAAGUUCAAGGCUGAAUCAGAGACCGAGUUUAAGACCGAGUUCGAGACAGAGUCUGAUAUCCAAGACCGGGUCCAAGACCGAGUCCGAGGUCGAGUCCGAAGUCGAGUUCGAGAUCGAGUUCGAGAUCGAGUCCGAGACCAAGUCCAAAGUUGGGUCCGAGAUCGAGUCCGAGACCGAGUCCGAGUACUAAUAUGGGUCAAGGGGUGAAAGCCCAAAGUGUGCAUCUCCUGGGGGGGGGCUGCAUGGGGUUCCAAAAGUAUAGUAGGGAUAGUGAGGUCUGGGAACCAGUCUUGAAGGAACUCUCUAGUGGUGCUUCCAAACUAACUUGAGGUUGAAACUAGGGUUGAAGGGCCUUAGGUGGGAGUGAGCAUGGACUUGGGUGGUGCCAGAGGGGCCACCCAAGGAAGUGCUCAAGAGCAGCUCCCACUCCCAAAAGGGAAACUGACUGUGGUGCUCUCGGCUCAUGUGAAGUGGUGCCCCACUUGAGUAUUUUGUGGCUCAUUAGUCCUCGCCCUUCCCUUCGGGAUAGAAGUGGUGGAUUUAUCUCCCAAGGUCUCGGGUGGUGCCAGAGGGGCCACCCAAGGAAGUGCUCAAGAGCAGCUCCCACUCCCAAAAGGGAAACUGACUGUGGUGCUCUCGGCUCAUGUGAAGUGGUGCCCCACUUGAGUAUUUUGUGGCUCAUUAGUCCUCGCCCUUCCCUUCGGGAUAGAAGUGGUGGAUUUAUCUUCCAAGGUUCCAAGGAUCCACAGUGAUAGUAUAUCCAAAUCUCAUCCCAUGAUCACAUGCACUACACUCACCCCCCCUUCAAAGAUGUUAAUGUCCUCAUUGACUAUUGAUUAACAACCUCUAUUGAGCCAAGGAGAACCAGCACCUCCAUUUUUGCACUCAAUCUACCAAUCCUUCCAUUAUGUAGACUAGUUAUUCCAUGUGAGGCAACUAGUUAUCCACCCGUAUUGCAGUCCCACGGUGGAUACCUUCGUCUGUGGAUACUCCACACAAGAGGAAGGACGUACGCAUGGAUGCCCAAUACGUACGAUUUCAAAUUAAGGGGUGGGAAUAUACCUUGCUCAAAGGUAUAUUAUACUUUUAAGUAGCCACUAAUAAAUAGGAAUCGAACCCAUGCCAUUUGCUCUGAUACCAACUGUAGCGCACCUUAUCUCUCUCCCCUUAAGCCAACUAGAAAAGGGGCAAUUGCUUGAUGAGAGAGACCUUAGUGGCUAUUUUAUCCCCAUUUAUCUCCCAAGGUUCCAAGGAUCCAUAGUGACAGUAUAUCCAAAUCUCAUCCAAUGAUCACAUGUGCUACACUCACCCCCCCCUUCAAAGAUGUCAAUGUCUUCAUUGACUAUUGAUUAACAACCCCUACUGAGCCAAGGGGAAUGAACACCUCCAUUUCUGCACUCAAUCUAUCAGUCCUUCCAUUGUGUAGACUAGCAGGCAACUAGUCAUCCACCCGUACUGCAGUCCCACGGUGUAUAUCUACCAGUCCUUCCAUUGUGUAGACUAGCUAUUCCAUGUGAGGCAACUAGUCAUCCACUCGUACCGCAGUCCCACAGUGGAUAUCUACCAAUCCUUCCAUUGUGUAGACUAGCUAUUCCAUGUGAGGCAAUUAGUCAUCCACCUGUACCGUAGUCCCACGGUGGAUACCUUCGUCCGAGACUAGCUAUUCCAUGUGAGGCAACUAGUCAUCCACCCAUACCGCAGUCCCAGGUGGAUAUCUACCAGUCCUUCCAUUGUGUAGACUAGCUAUUCCAUGUGAGGCAACUAGUCAUCCACCCGUACCGCAGUCCCACGGUGGAUACCUUCGUCCGAGACUAGCUAUUCCAUGUGAGGCAACUAGUCAUCCACCCAUACCGCAGUCCCAGGUGGAUAUCUACCAGUCCUUCCAUUGUGUAGACUAGCUAUUCCAUGUGAGACAACUAGUCAUCCAUCCGUAUCGCAGUCCCACGGUGGAUACCUUCGUCCGAGACUAGCUAUUCCAUGUGAGGCAACUAGUCAUCCACCCAUACCGCAGUCCCAGGUGGAUAUCUACCAGUCCUUCCAUUGUGUAGACUAGCUAUUCCAUGUGAGACAACGAGUCAUCCAUCCGUACCGCAGUCCCACGGUGGAUACCUUCAUCCGAGACUAGCUAUUCCAUGUGAGGCAACUAGUUAUCCACCCAUACCGCAGUCCCAGGUGGAUAUCUACCAGUCCUUCCAUUGUGUAGACUAGCUAUUCCAUGUGAGACAACUAGUCAUCCAUCCGUACCGCAGUCCCACGGUGGAUACCUUCGUCCGAGACUAGCUAUUCCAUGUGAGGCAACUAGUCAUCCACCCAUACCGCAGUCCCAGGUGGAUAUCUACCAGUCCUUCCAUUGUGUAGACUAGCUAUUCCAUGUGAGACAACUAGUCAUCCAUCCAUACCGCAGUCCCAUGGUGGAUACCUUCGUCCGAGACUAGCUAUUCCUUCCAUUGUGUAGACUAGCUAUUCCAUGUGAGACAACUAGUCAUCCACCCGUACCGCAGUCCCAUGGUGGAUACCUUCGUCCGAGACUAGCUAUUCCAUGUGAGGCAACUAGUCAUCCACCCGUACUGCAGUCCCAGCUAUUCCAUGUGAGGCAACUAGUCAUCCACCCGUACCGUAGUCCCACGGUGGAUACCUUCGUCCAUGUAUCCACCCGUACCGUAGUCCCACGGUGGAUACCUUCGUCCAUGGAUACUCCACACAAGAGGAAGGACGUACGCAUGGAAGCCCAAUACAUACGAUUUCAAAUUUAGGGGUAGAAAUAUACCUUACUCAAGAGUAUAUUAUACUUUUAAGUAGCCACUAAUCAAUGGGAAUCGAACCCGUGCCAUUUGCUCCGAUACCAACUAUAGCGCACUUUAUCUCUCUCCCCUUAAGCCAACUGGAAAAGGGGCAAUUGCUUGAUGAGAGAGCCCUUAGUGGCUAUUUUAUCCCCAUUUAUCCCCCAAGGUUCCAAGGAUCCACAGUGGUAGUAUAUCCAAAUCUCAUCCCAUGAUCAUAUGUGCUACAAUAGAGGUACCCAUACCAGGCUGUUAGGCCACGGUGUUUCGCCCCAGCGUCCUGAAGCAAGUGUUGCACCCAAGGCUUGGGAUUUAAAGGGUCCCAUGAUCAAGUCUUGUUGUACCAAGGGAUAUUAGGAACCUGGAGGCUUGUUAUGCUUGGCUACUUGUGCUUGCGGGGAGUGUAGCCGAACCUUAAGUCCAAUUUAACUCGGGAAGGGGGAUUAUGAGAGAUUUGGGAAUCCGUAGAUGGAUGGCUAACGCUCCGUUGCUCGUCUAGUGAGUAGUUGAAACCAAGUAGGACCAAGUAAGAGCUGGUAUAAUAGAUGAAACCUUGAACUUCCCGAGAGGUUACCCAACUUAAUAUUAUUCAAACCCAAGGACGCUUAACCCCAAAUAUCCUAAAACCUUUAACCAAUUGGAAAACAGGGUGCACUUUUAUUCAUGGGCCCUUUCCCUCUAUAUUUGAACCCCAUGGACCGUUUUUUAAAUCAUUCUCUUUGGUUGCUUAUAAUCCACCACGCUUCCCUACAAGUUCAUGCCCUCGUGAAUGGAAGCUGAGAGCCGCAGCUUUCCCGAGAGCCCCGCUCUCUUGACACUACCCCUCGAGUCGAGACCAACAGGAGCAAAUUGGACAAGCUAGAUGUCAAUCAAUAUGUGGUGUGAUUCCCCUAGCUAACCAACAGAGUCGGACCCGAGACCCCUCUAAUACCAAAUAUAAGAGCUUACAUGGUGGUAUUUAUUCCACACUUUCUCUAUGCCUAUCAUGACUUUGCUAUUUUAGGUGAGUUUAUAAAACAUUGUUAUAUGAUUGAAAAGCUACACAACAAAGAUCCAAUUUAAUGUUAUCCAAUAUAUGUGUAGUUGUGUAUAGUGCCAAGUUUAUAAUACUCCCUCUUAUAUUGCAAAAAGAUGGUUGGAGUCAAUUAUAAUUUCUUAUCCAUUUGAGUUGGUUAAUGAGGCCUUCACCACAAUUAACUAUUAACAAUGAGUAUAUUAUUAUUGCUUUUGACUACUUGACUCACUAUGUGAAAGUCAGUGCUUUUGCUAGUGCAUUUACAAUUAUUAUUUGUUACUUUCUCCUCAAUCAAGUUGUGUUUAAACAUUCUUGUGUGGAGUGGAUUUUUUCAAAUAAUAAUCUAACAUUUAUGACUGAAGCAUUUCAUGUUUUAACAUCUUGUCUAGAGAUAUGAUCUAACAUUUAUGGCUAAGGAAUUUCAUGUCUUAAAAUCUUGACUAAGGAUAUAUCACAUGCCAGUUUAGGCUUCUAAAUCAAGUACUCUAGUAUCUUCUUUUAUUGUCGUUGUUAACUUGUUAAUGGAUUUCUUCAAAUAAUGAUCUAACAUUUAUGGCUGAGGCAUUUCAUAUCUUAACAUCUCGACUAGGGAUAUGUUACAUGCCAGUUUGGGCUUCUAGAUCAAGUACUCUAAUAUCUUCUUCCAUCGUCGUUGUUAACUCGUUAGUGGAUUUCUUCAAAUAAUGAUCUAACAUUUAUGGCUGAGGCAUUUCAUGUUUUAAGAUCUUGACUAGGGUAUGUUACAUGCCAGUUUGGGCUUCUAGAUCAAGUACUUUAGUAUCUUCUUCCAUCAUCAUUGUUAACUUAUUAGUGAAUUUCUUCAAAUAAUAGUCUAACAUUUAUGGUUGAGGCAUUUCAUGUCUUUCCAAGGAUCCACAAUAAUAGUAUAUCUAAAUUUCAUCCCAUAAUCAGAUAUGCUACACUCAACCCCUAUUGAGCCAAGAGGAACUAACACCUCCAUUUCCAUAUUGAAUCUACCAAUCCUUCCAUUGUAUAAACUAACUAUUCCACCAUUUCCGUAAUGAAUCUACCAAUCCUUUUAUUGUGUAGAUUAACUAUUCCAUGUGAGGCAAUUAGUCAUCCACCCAUACUGGAGUCCUACGGUGGAUACUUUCAUCCGUGGAGUAUCUUCCAUUGGAUACUUUCAUCUGUGGAGUAUCUUCCAUUGUAUAGACUAACUAUUCUAUGUGAGGCAACUAGUCAUCCACCCAUACUGUAGUCCACGGAUGAAGGUAUUCCAUAUGAAGCAACUAGUCAUCCAUCUAUACCAUAGUCCCACGGUGAAUACCUUCAUCCAUGGAUACUCCACACAAGAGGAAGGACGUACACAUGGAUGUUUAAUACGUAUGAUUUUAAAUUUUAUGGGUAGGAAUAUAUCUUGCUUAAGGGUAUAUUUUUAAGUAGCCACUAAUCAAUGAGAAUUGAACCCAUGCCAUUUACUCUAAUACCAUAUGUAAUGCAUUCUAUUUCUCUCCUCUUAAGCCAACUGAAAAAGAGGUAAUUGCUAGAUAAAAAAGCCCUUAGUGGCUAUUUUAUCCCCAUUUAUCUCCCAAGGUUCCAAGGAUCUAUGGUGACAAUAUAUCCAAAUCUUAUCCUAUAAUCAAAUACGCUACACCUAAGCCCUACUUAAUUCAUAUGUCAAUCAUGAUGUGGUGAUAUGGUUCGUACUACUGGACAGCUAUGCAUGCCUUGACAACAUCUUAUCAUCCACAAACAAAUUGUUUGGUAUAAUAAUUUGUCUGGAACUUCAAAAGGAUGAUCGUGAAAUAUAUAAAUUUUUAGCAUUCAGAUUAAGAUGGUUAUUGCCAUUUCUUCGAUAUGUGUAUGUCAUAGAGGUAUAGAGUUUUGUUAGUGUUUCAUUAUAUAAACUCCUAUGUGGUCAUGAUUUGAUACUGCCAAUGGAGUUGAGUUUACUUUCACAAUUGCCACAAGUUGUUAAUUCUAGGUCCUAAGAUUAAUAUUUAACAAGCAUUCUUCCACUAGUUUGAGUGGAGUUUACUAAAUAUUUGGGCCUCGUACAAGUGGGACAAUAAUGGCACUACAACUCACUUUAUCAUUUAUUUGCAAAGUACAAACUGAAUGAUUUAAUGUUAAUUUAUUUUUCCAAUCUUAUGGUACAUGGUUUGUCUAAGAGGCUCUUUAUUUAGUAAAAAGGACUGUAUCAGAUGUUGUGGCAAGUUGAACCGCAAAUUUAUGAAGUUUGAUAUGACAUUUAACAUAUUAAUCCUUCAAAUUAUACAUGUGCAACAACUAAAGCACUUCGUAUUAAAGGGUCAUAAACAAUUGGCACCACCUAUAGAUCCACUAGUACCACCUCCUAAUAUUCCUUUAGAUCCCGACGUAUCAACCAAAGAAUUGUAAUUGCCUUCCAUCCUUCUAAGAGGAAAGGAUGAUAUGAGGUUUAAAGAUACGGCUAUAAUAACAUAUAUUAAUAUUAGGAUAAGGACUUUAAUAGCUAUUAGAUUGGUUUCAAUCUAGACCAUUUAUUUGCUUCUAUAUAUAAGUUAGGGUUUUUGGGCUAAUUGAAUAUAUAUAUUUUUGUAUUCCAUGCACUCACAUAUCCAUAUUUAUAUACAAUAAAAAUGAUAAAAUUAAUAGCAUGCAACAUGUAUGAAAUUAAUAGAUGAAAUAUUUAUAUAAUCUUAUAUAGUUUUUACAUAAUCUUAUUUAAUUAUAUAUUAUUUUUUUAAUAGCCACUAAAAUUGUGAUGUCCAAGUGUACAACUAUGAUACUAUAUAUUAAUAUUAAUGACCAUACACUAAGAUUAACAUAGUAGGAUUUUAAUAACUAUCAAAUUUGUUUCAAUCCAAACCUCUUGCUCUUGUAUAUAAACUAGUUUUUGGGAUAAUUGAUGUGCAUAUUUUUAUAUCCCUUUCUAUAUUCUAUACACUCACAUUUGUGGAGGUAAAGGACAACACUAAUUGUCCCAGAAGAGUGCUUAGAUUUGGGAUUUGGUUUAAAUCUAACUUUUACAUCAUCUAGAUUUCACUUUCUUUAUAGCUUUUUUAGUUUUUAUUUUUAUUUUUAUUUUUAUUUUUCAUUCAUCUUUAUAGCAAAGUAACAACCUCCUCUAGAGCAAUAGUUAGUGCAACUUUUUGAUGUUAUGUAGUUGCAAUUAAACAAUUAAACUCAAUUGAUAGCAGUAUUCACAAUACAUGAUAUAGCUCCUCUUGCUCUUGUUGCCAAUCCUUGUGUUUGAUUGGAGUUCAUUUAUGGGAAUUUUUAGAAUGAUGUGUAUUAUUGGUUUAAUGACUUUAUGGUGAUUGUCAUAAAUCAUUCUUGGGAUGAUGCUCAAUAUUUGCGUGAGUUUCCCAUAUAUUUCCAAGAAAUAGUAUUGUAGAGGUAUAAUGGUUUGAGCAUAACCAUUCAUGUGGAUUGAAGCAUUCUCUCGAACAUCUUCAAAUGCACAUUUGAAUAUGCCAAUGAUUGUGAGGAUGCCUUCUAACAAUUGCAUCGUCUUCAUUAAGGGCAAUUUGAGUCAAUAAUGCAAUUUGGCAUUUAUUUUAGAGCCUUUUACUUCGUAUACAGAUAAAUAUGUUGGAGUAGAUCAAGUUAGGAAUGUUGUGGCUAGCACUUCGUCAAGAUCUUGUAGGACUUAUAUAUGCACUUUCUCUAACCACUCUUGAUAAUGCUCUUCACUUAACACAAUAUUAUAAAACAUCAUCUUUUCCACUUCUCACUAUAUAUUCUUUAACUUCACUUUAUGUGGGAAAUGGUCCUGUUCCAAUGAAAGUUGAUGUUAUUGUUACCCGAGUUUAAGGAUAAGGGUUAGGACAUGGUCAUGGUUGUGAUAGCGUGUGAUAAAGUUGGUAACACAUAUUAGUAUUAUUAGCAUUUUCCAUAUUAGUAUCCUCUAUUUCCUAGAUGGAGACUUUGGCAUCAACAAUGUCCUAUUUGUGUUGUUGCAAUGGAAGGUUUAGACAUCAAAAUGCUUCUGGGAAACAAAGAAUUAUACGAGUAUUAAAAGGUCUUUCCAUCUUUCUUUUAAGAGUAUUAUCAAGGGGUUCACUUGGCACUAAUUUAUCCACUAUUUACUUUCCAAACUCAUUUUUAUAAUAAUAAGUCUUCUAUUAUUCUCUAUGUUGGUUGAUAUAGGCUUGAAUUUAUUUUCUAUUACUCGACCUAUUACCACACAUUAUUAUCUACAUGUGUGUUAUGCAGUAAAACCAAUUUUCAUUCUUUAUAACAACAGCCGUACACAAGUAUGUGCACAGGAUAAGGCAAAUUUAGUGAUGUAUGUGGGCGAUCUUAAGCUUUAGCUUUAGUCAUUGUAGGUGAUAUUGAGUCAAACUUUUAACUUAUCUUUGAUAUAAAUUGGUUGUAGUGCAAUUAUGCUAAAUGUGACUUUGGGGGUUCUCCCUCUUUGUCUCAUAUUUCUUUAUAUUUUUUCCAUUCUUCUCACUUUUAUUCCUUUUUAUCCCUUUGCUUUUACAUUUACUUUUAUCACUUUUCUUUCCCCAUUAUUUCUCUUAUGUUUUUAUCUUGUUCCUCUAUUCCCUUUCAAAUUUCUUUAACAGUCUUUGUAUUUUAGCAGUUGACUAGCUCAUGAAAGAGUAUGUUGAUCUCUUUAAGUUUGAGGCCAAAAUUGCAAUAUGUCAUUCUAUUCCAACUAAGGAUGCUUAUCCAAUAAAGAUUUAUGUUCGUUAUCAGUCCAAUGAUAUGCAAUGCUUUUUAGGUAAAGUGCAAUAUCUUAGUUAUUUCAUUAAUUAUCUUUUUAUUGUAUUACACUGUUUUAAGAAUUAUUGAAGUUGUCAACAUUGUCUUUUAUUUAGUCCAUGGACUUUGAGCAAGCAUUUAUACAUCUCAAAGAGUUGUUGACAAGUCCUUUAGUUUUGGCAUAUCCUAAAUAUACUCAACCUUUUAAUUUGCAAGUGGAUGUUUUUUAUAUCGGUGUUAAAGGUGUGUUAAUAUAAAAGAGUCUGAGUGUGUUUAGUUAGUGUCAUUUCAUUGCACACAUCAACUAUAUAUUAUAACUAAAGGAGGUGAAUUACUCCACAAUAGAGGCAUAUUUAGUAACUAUUUGGGAUUUCAAGAAACUUCAUAAAUAUCUAAAUGGUUCUUGAGUGUUAUUCAUGCUAUAGUUACUUUGUUAUUGAAGAGGAAGAAUUUAGUUGGUCAUACUACUUGGUGUGUUUUGAAGCUUUAAAUAUAUAAUUUCGAUAUUAUUCAUUGCUUAGGAGUUUUAUAGUUAAUGCUGAUGCCCUCUCUCAAGUUUCUCUUCCUUCUUCACUCUUUUAUCAUAUUUCAGACUAGUCUAGAUUUUCUAAAUAAAGAUUUUGUAUUAUUAGCAAUUGUUGUACUUGAUGUUCAAUAUCCACAAGGUGUGAAGCAAGAUUUACCUUCUCUUGACAAGUUGUAUAAGGCUCAAGACUUCCACCUAACAAGUCAAGUAGUUAGAAAUAAUAAUGACAUACUCUUGUUAAUGUAUUUGCAAUUUUUAUUAAGUACUUCCUCUUUAAUCAAAUGGUGUUUUAAUAUGCUUGUCCAGAGUAUAUUUUUUUGGAUAAUAGUCUGCAUUUAUUUAAUAUCUUACUUGAAGAUAUGCUACACUUUCAUAAGUGUUUAUCAUCCACAAACACAUAGUUUGGUGGAAUGAUUUAUUCAAACUUUCAAAAGCAUAAUUAUGAAGUAUAUGAACUUUCAACAUUUAAAUUGGGAUGAUUAUUUGUUGUCUCUUUAAUAUGUGUAUAUCACAAGGUUACAAAGUUUUGUUAAUAUUUCACUAUAUAAACUACUACAUAAUCAUGAUCUAAUACUACCAAUAGAGUUAAGUUUACCUUUACAAUUGCCACAAGUUUACCGAUGCUAAAUCCUAGGGUUAAUAUUUAACAAACAUUUUUUCAUUUGUCAAAACUAAAUUUGCUAAAAACUUGGGCCACUUACAAGUGGGACAACAAUAGUGCUACAACUCUCAUCAUUAUCCAAAGUACAAAGUGGAUAAGUUAGUAUUAGUCUGCUUUCCUAAUUUUACAAUACAUGUUUUGUCUAAAGGGCUCCUUAUUGAAUGGAAGAUAUUAUAUCAGAUGUUGUGACAAGUUGAACCAUAAGUUUAUAAUGUUUAACAUAACAUUCAAGAAGUCAAUUCUUUAAAAAUUAUAUAUAUGCAAUAGUUAAAACACUUUAUAUAAAAGGGAUUAAAAACAACUAAUACCAUCUAUAAAUCCACUACUACCUCUCCUUGAUAUCCCUCUAAAUCCUAACCCAUCAACGAAAAAACCUUAAUUGCCUUUCAUUCUUCCAAAAGGAAAGAAUGAUAAAAGGUCCAAAUAUACAUAAUGUUGUAUAUUAAUAUUAACAACUCUAUAUUAAGAUUAGCAUAGUAUAAUUUUAAUAACUGUUGGAUUAGUUUCAAUCCAAACCACAUUACUCUUGUAUAUAAGCUAAGGUAUUUAAGUUAAUUCAUAUGCACAGUUUUGUAUUUUAUUUCUUUAUUCCUCCUCUACUUUAUUAUUGAGUACUAUGAAAAAUUCUUUUCUUACAAAAAUGUAAAUUAAUAAGUAUAAGUUGACAUUUUAAUAUAAUAAUGGGGAAUAAUAUUAGAUCCGAAUCAAUAGAAGAAUGAGCAUGCUGGAGUUUUUCUGGCGUAAGGAUAUAGCAAACCAUCGCUCUGCUAGAAUCCAAAUGAAGCUGUUAAAGAAUCCAUGAAUUCCAGAGCAUUGUCACUUGAAUCCUCGGACCAUGGUGCUUGUCCUGUACGAGACUCCAUUGAGGUCCUCAAUCACCCAUUUGAGCUCAGUCAUGUCCAUCACCCGGAAAUGGACGAUGUCUUUCUCGUGAUUCCGUUGCUCUUCGAUGUGGAGAGUUCCCUCGGCAAGAUGGUUGAACCACGAAGUUAGGCCCCAACGUUUCUGUGACUCCGGUUUUGAGUCUUUCGACUCGCCUUGGCUGUUUGAAGUGCUCUGGACACGGCAAACGAAGUAGCCUUUGUCAGCUACAACCUUGAGCAGCUCCUCGCUUUCACUACCAUUGGCUCCAACAACCUGGUUUGCCGAAUUAGAUCCCAAUAGCGUAGACCAAAAACGAAAACUUACCAGCAAGACUUGCUUGGAUGGUAGCCUCCAUUUUGUACAUAUCGAGUCCAGCAUUCCUUCGCUGCUUGGACAGUCACAUUGGUUGGAACUGUGAUUCAUGAAAAAUGAAAAGUACCUGACGACUUCUUCUUGCAAUCUCCUCACUUCCGCAAACUGGAAGCCUCCCAACUGGUUCAUUAAGUUUCUAAGCUCAGCGUCUGGGCCACGAGCCAAAAGAGCUUGCGAAACACCACGCUCCUGGAAAAGGAAAGAGUUGGAAGCAUAGAGAACAAAAGAUUAUAGAAGAGAGAACCGAAAGAUAGAAACGAACCUCCAAGUAUCGAAUAAGAGCGGGGCAACCCGGUAGCACAGAACUAUCUUUUUCUCCUGGAGAAGUUGUGAUCACCACCCCGAGCUUGGCUUGCUCUUGUCUUGCAUCCGCUAAUGCUUGCUUGUGUCUAAGCCUCUCGGCAUACUUUGCUCGUAUGCUGUCUCCUCUCCCCAGGAUCUCUUCCAAGCUCUGCUUCUCUUGCAGCUUCUUCUUCCUCAAAGCCGCCGCCGAGGAGCUACUGCCACUCCCAAUCUUCUCCUGGAGUGCACCAACAUUUUUCAGUCCCAGCUUCUCCAUGACUUGCUCGGCCGACACAUCUUCCACGUUUCCAACAGUCUCGUUCACGUUCUCGUGAACGAGAUUGCUCCAGUCCCUGGAUCCAGAGGACGCCAUCUCCUUGAUUCUUUUCCCUCGUUGUUGAGGAGGAAUGGCCAAAGCCGCCAUGUCGUAGAUCACCCCACGCACUAGAAAUCCAGUCUCCACGCCUUCACGAAGCUCCCGGCGGAGAUAGAGCUCCUUGACGUCGAGGUUGGUCCGCCAAUUCCCAUUCUCGAUUCUAAAUGCUUGCUUGUGCUGCUGCUCCUCGGGCAAGGCCAGCCCCGCCAGCGUGAAGAGCAUCUCUUGGAUCGUCGUCUGGAUGUGCGCCAUGGAGAAGACUGACCAAUCCACCUCAAAUGAGACAUAAUCUUCCUCUUCUUCUUCCUCUUGCGCUGCUGCUGCUACAUUCUUUGGAUUUCUUGGCUGAUGCUGGCGCUGUGGAGAAGGAUCGGCCAUACCUGGAACUGGAGGCGAAAUCUGCGACGGCAGUGGCGCCAGCUUCCUCCUGCCCGGCCGAUGGAGCCUCUGCGCGGCGAGAUGCAUGAGGCGGCGCAGCACACCCAUCCCGGGCGCCGCCUAGGGCUCUUGCCGCCACUGCCAAGUGUGACCAUUGAAAAUAUUCCUUGCAGGAAAUUUUUUGGGAAGAUCAAGGAGAAGAAACACUCGAUAACGAUCAAGCUUUUCGAGGCUGGAUUCCAUCGCUGCUUGCGAUCUCAUCCGAUCAGUCGCCAGGAGCAAGGAUCUUCGCCAGGCCAGGGAGCUGCAUUCGCGCCUCCGGCAAAUCAUCCCAGCGCUCCUCGCCAAGAGCAGGCUAUUAGGGAACUGGAUCGUAGACAUGUACGGCAAAUGUGGCAGCAUAGAAGAUGCCAAGGGCGCCUUUGAUUCCCUCCACCACCCCAAUGUCUACUCCUGGAAUAUCCUUAUCACAGCAUAUGCCCAAACUGGGCAUAUACAGGAAGCGCGACACGUGUUCCACUGGAUGACCGUCCGCGACGUCGUGUCCUGGACGGCGUUGAUACAAGCUCAUUCCAAGCAUGGGCAAAUUUUCGAGGCAUCCAGAGCGUUCCAGAGAAUGCCUCAACGAGAUGCCGCCACGUGUACGGUGCUUGUGACAGCAUUUGCCAAGACUGGGCAUUUGUCCGAAGCGAGGGGCUUAUUCGCGAAUAUGCAACAAAGAAACGUUGUGGCAUGGACGGCGUUGCUCACGGCAUAUGCUUAUGACGGGCAAACGGCAAUGGCAGAGGGUGUUUUUGCGAGAAUGCCAAGCUGGAGCAUUGCGCCUUGCUCGUCAAUAAUGACGGCAUAUGCCCAGGUCGGUAACGUUCCGUCCGCACAACGAAUCUUUGAUUCCAUGCUCGAGAGGGAUGUGGUUUCUUGGACAGCACUUUUGCAAGUAUAUGCCCGCAUAGGGCAUCUUGGUGCAGCAGAGCAAUUAUUUGACAUGAUGCCAAUGCGAAACGUUUUCUCGUGGACUGCAAUGCUUGCAGCUUUGGCGGAAAACGGGCUGCUAGAAAAAGCAAGAUUCGUUUUCAAAGAAACGCCACAACGGGACAUGGUAAUAUGGCAUGCAAUUGUUUCAGCAAAUGCCCAAUACGGGCAUUUGCUAAUGGCGCGAGAAUUGUUUGAGAAAAUGCCAUGCCACGGAGUCGAGACGUGGUGUUUGAUGCUAGUCCGCUACGCACAGAUUGGAAACCUCAAACAAGCGAUAUAUUUCUUUGAUUACUCUCCCAGGGUGGAUGUGAUCUCUUGCAACGCUAUGAUGUCUGCGUUUGCUCACGAGAAACUUGUAGAUCAAGCGCGCAGGGUGUUUGAGCGAAUGCCGCAGUGGAGUGUAGUCUCCUGGACCGCGAUGCUCGAAUCCCACGCCUCGGCCGGAGAGAUCAAAGAGGCAAGAUCCCUGUUUGACCACCUCCACGAGCCAGACUUGACAUCAUGGAUCGCGAUAGUCGAAGCGUAUGCCCGAGUUGGGCAUAUCUCAGAGGCAAAAAAGCUCUUCGAUCGAAUCCCUUGCAAGGAGAUCGUUUCCUGGAACUCACUGCUUGCUGCCUAUGGCCGGGGAGGAUACCAUCGGGAUGCCGUCGAGAACUUCUGGGCGAUGCAACAGCUGGGAUUCGAUCCAGAUGGUAUCACCUUCGUCACUGUCUUGAGCGCCUACAGCCACACUGGGCGAGUCGAGGAAGCUAGAAACUCCUUCGUUUCGAUGGUGCUGGAUUACAAUCUGGUACCGGCGAUGGAGCACUAUGGUUGCAUUGUUGACGCGCUUGGUCGAUCUGGAAGGUUGUCAAGAGCAUCUGAUUUGCUGGAAAACAUGCCCGUGUGGCCACCAGUGGAACCCUUGACAUCGUAUCUAAGCUCGUGUCUUAACAACACGAACGAUCCUUCCUCUAAAGUCUACACAGUUUCUUCACAAGACAUCAAUCUCUCUCCGCAACUUUGCGUGAUCUAGAUACCUGAAGACAGUACCAUUUCAUAGGCUCGAAGUUCCUUCUUCUAUACACAUUUUUUGGUUUCAUCUUCACAAGAAUCUUAUUUCUGUGCCGUGAAGAUCAGCUGGAAGCAACCAAGACACAUGCCAUAGUCGCACGGUCCACCACGGAGUCAUAGAAUUCGCGAGCUUCUUCAAUGCUUCCAGGUGCCGCUUGCUAUGCGGUGGAUCUUCUUCUCGGCGUCAAGCAUCUUGGAAGAGGCCAAUAUCGGUUAACUACAUGGUAUGGUGAUAAAUUAAUGCGAACGCGGUUGCUGAGGAAUUGGUUAUCAGGUAAGUGUAGAGGUGGACCGGAAGUAGAUGACCCGGGUUCGAGGCGGCCGAAGGGUCCAAUCAACAAGGACUUUAUGCGAAAAUCUUUUACGGAAGAAAUACCCCAAAUAUUGCUUCGCCAGCUCAAUAAAACAGGUUAGACCAGUCAGUUAACACCCCGGGCUAUCAAAGAGCACGCCCAGGGUUCGAAUCUUGAUUUUGGACUCUCCGUCUACAUGGUUUCUUUACAAAACAUGAAUCUCCUUCCGCAACUUUGCGUGAUUUUUAGACAUCAGAAGAUAAUACCAUUUCAUAGGCUCGAAGUUCCUUCUUCGUCCAUAGAUUCUAUACACAUUUUUGUUUCAUCUUCACAAGGAUCUUAUUUCUGUACGCGUGAAGAUCAGCUGGAAGCAACCGAGACGGGAGCUCGCACCUGGACGCACAAGCCAUGGUCGCACCUAUCUGGUUUCGAGUGCUGGACUACCACUGGGUUGCCACUGGCGUCCAGGUCUAGCAGCGCUGUGUCGCCUUCGCUGUAGUGUGACGCGAGUAGAGACUCACUCACCGCGUCUUCGAUGAUCCUGGUGACCGCUCGCCGCAAGGGACGAGCUCCGUAAGCUUUGUCGUAGCCCUCGUCGCAAACCAGCUUCACGGCUGCUUCCGACACCUCCAGAUUGAUGCCUCGCUUGGCGAGCCUCUCUUUCGUCUCGGCUAGCAUCAUGUCAACAAUGGCACGGACCUGCAAAAGAAGUGUUACGCCGUACGCAAAAGGGAUGAGAGAUUUAUCUCUCACCUGAGCUUUCUCUAGCGAUCUGAAGACAACCACUUCGUCUAUUCUGUUGAGUAGCUCGGGCCUGAAGAAGUUUUUCAGCUCGUCCAUCACCAGACCUUUGAGGUUUGUGUAGUCUUCGUCGCCACCUUCCGCGAACGAGAAACCGAUCUUGCCGCUUCCUCCUCUUGCUAUGGCCGAGGAGCCAACGUUGGAUGUCAUUAUCAAAAGAGAGUUCCUGAAAGAGACGACGCGGCCCUGUAGAAUCCAGCAGGUCAGCUUACAGGCAUCACGGAAAAUGCUUUACCUGUGAAUCGGUAAGGCGACCGUCCUCAAAAAUUUGCAAAAGCAUGUUGAAGAUAUCGGGAUGAGCUUUCUCGAUCUCGUCCAAGAGAAUAACAGUGAAGGGCCUCUUGCGAACAGCCUCUGUCAGCGUUCCACCCUCGCCAUAUCCAACAUAUCCGGGAGGAGAACCGAUAAGCUUGCUCACAGUAUGACGCUCCAUGUACUCGCUCAUAUCCAACCUUAUCAUGGCGUCCUCCUGGAAGAAAAAAACCGUGGUAAGGCGCCAUAUGUGCAUGCGUAUGAAAGGACUUACGGCUCCAAAGAAGUGCUGAGCAAGAGCUUUUGUAAGCUCCGUUUUUCCUACACCGGUUGGCCCGCAGAAAAGCAUGGCAGCGAUCGGCCGACUUGGAUCCUUGAGUCCGACUCGUGCCCUGCGAACUGCUCGCGAUAUGGCAUUCACUGCAUCAUCUUGGCCAACAACACGCGUUUGCAGCAACUUCUCCAGAUUAAUAAGCUUCAGUUGCUCGUCCGAGGUAAGUUGCUCAAUCGGAAUACCAGACCACAUGGACGUCACAGCUGCUAUUUCUGAAGGUCCAACUAUCACCGAGCUGCAGACAAAAACAAAGCUUAAGAAACGGAGAACAAACAAAAGUAGUGCAUACCCUUCCAUUAGUUCAUUUACAGGUAAAGAAACUGACUCUUGGUCGAUAUCUACAGCCUUCGGUAAAGUGUUUGCAGCACUUUCAAUAAGAUACUCCGAGUCCCCAAGAGCACUUUGCGGAACGAAGGCCUGAAAAAGAAUUGUUAGAACAACUUUCGGCACGACAAGCAAAAUAAAGGUCACUUACAGCUUCUUGAGCAGCCUGGACAGCCCGAAUUGCUUGCCAGUACUCGCUAGGUGUCUUGGAAAGAAUGCUGACUCGCUCUUCUUUCCUGCGCUUAAACGCAUCAAUACGGGCUCUACUGCCAGCCUCGUCGAUCAAAUCAAUCGCUUUGUCGGGAAGGUAUCGAUCAGCUAUGUAUCUCGACGACAAAUAUACAGCCGCAUCAACUGCUUCCUGUGUAAUUCUACAUUUGUGAUACUCUUCGUAUCUAUCACGUAUUCCUAAAAGAAUCUUUACAGCGUCUUCCUGCAAACCAAAAAAAUCGUCAACAACAACAUAUACCAAGUAACAACACAAACCUGACUAGGUUCAUUUACAAUAACAGGUUGAAACCUCCUUGCUAGCGCUUUAUCUUUUUCGAUGUGUUUUCUAUGCUCGUCGAGUGUUGUGGCACCUAUACACUGAAGAAAAAAGCGUAAGCAUAAUCGUUAUUAACAGUGAAAACAUUAUCUUUACCUGAAGUUCGCCUCUCGCUAAUGCAGGCUUCAAUAGAUUCGCAAUGUCCAAGCCUGCCCCAUUAUUUCCACCUCUUCCACCAACAGAACCCGACCCAACGAGCGUAUGGACUUCGUCUAUAAGAAGUAUAACAUUGCCUGGUGAUAUCAAGCAUGUCAGAUACAGCAUUCUAAGUAUAAAUAAACGGAAAACUUCACCUGCUUUUCGCGUUUCCUCUAUGAGGCUUGUAACCCGAGAUUCUAGUUCACCACGCUCCUUAGCUCCAGCAAGAAGCAAUCCCAUAUCCAGCGACAUCACUCGCUUCCCCUGUAUGCGCAAGCAAGAAUAUGUAAACUUCACCGCAGUUUAAAAAAUCUACUCACCGUGAGAAACUCUGGAACGUUUCCACUCGCAAUACGUAUGGCAAGGCCUUCAGCAAUCGCUGUCUUGCCAACGCCAGGCUCCCCAAGCAAGAUGGGAUUGUUUUUGGUUCUUCUUGCUAGAAUCUGUACAACUCUUUGCACUUCACUGUCUCGGCCAAUAACAGGAUCAAUUUUCCCGUCACUAGCACGUAAGGUAAGAUCCACACAAAAAUCGUUGAGGGCACCUUUUUCUAGAAGACGGCGUGGUAAGACGACAAGCAUCGAAAGCAAACUAAUAAGUAAAGAGCGAACCUUUUCUACCAGGACGCUUGCUUGACGAAGCCGCUGUAGCUCCAGACUUGGCUGGCAAACUCAUAGCAGGAGGCGGUGUUCUUCCGUCCUUGGCAAGUUCUCCCUGUAGUCUCACGAUCGACUCAGCUUGUAGCUUUUGCGUUUUCAAUCCAAGCCUGAAAGAAACACGCAAAAACGGAGUCAGCCACACCCAAUCAGCCAUUUUCUAUCUAUCUAUCACGUACUUGUCAAGAAUCUUUGUAGCUCCCCCAUCGUCCACCGUGAAAAGAGCAAGCGCUAUAUGCUCCGGGGUGAUGUAGUUAUGUCCCAUCUUCUUGGACUGCUCCAGCGCCGCCUCAAACACCCUCUUGCUUCCAGUCGAGAAAGGAAUCUCGGACGCUUGCUUAUCGGACGUGACAAACGUUUGAUUGCUCUCCUGGAGCAAGUUCUUGAAGGCCUCCCUGGCUCGGUCGAUGGUAACGCCAGACCCGAGAAAUCCUUCUCCAUUCCUCUCCUCGGCAAUCAAUCCCAGCAGCAGCUGCUCGGUUCCCACGUCCUUCUUUCCAAACAGCUUGGCCUCCCUCUGGGCGAGCAUGAUGGACUUGAUAGCUCUCUCCGUGAAUCGCUCAAAGACCGCGCUCACGACGCCCCGGCAACCAGCUCUAGCCUCGCCGGGACUUCUUGCUAUCAAAGAACUCGAGACUGCCUGAUCGAAUCCCUCGGAGAAUGAAACUGGGCGGAGGAAAUCGAUGGCGGUGGAGCACCUCCUCAAUCCUUCGUGCUGAUACCCGCGCGAUUGGAGGAACGCCGCGCAGCUCGACUUCCUCAGCGCCGCCGCUGCCGCCGAUGGAGGGGGCCUGCUGUGGUAGUACACGGGGCUGCCCAGAUGACAUCGCGGGGACGAGCUGCCGUGCUCGAAAAUGCGCGCCUGGUGAAUCGUGUUGGACGUGCUCGCGGCCGCCAUCGCCAUGGAUCAAAUCCUUGCCACACCGGGACUGGCUCAAGAUUUCACCUGGAGAGCAGCCGGAUUGGAGCUUGGCUCGAGCAAGAAACGAGAGCGCGCCCACUGCUGGUACUCGACGCGUUGCAAAACCCUAGGAACAGGAAGAAGGAAGAUCCAACCUCGGCCCCACUGCGGUUGAGUGCUCUCGAUCUGGUGUCGUCGCGGCGAUGGCGGCGGCGGCAAUCCAACCCCCACGCGCUAUGAUCCUUCGCGUCCACGCUUCCUCUACAAUGGCCGCCCUCGCCGCGCAUUUUUCUAGUCAGCGAGGAAGAACACCAGAUCACCAAGGGGUGCAGCCGGGGUGUUGUGGGCCGUUGGAUGGGAGAUCCGACGGCUGUGGACUCGCCACGACAGGUAGUCCGAGAGCGGGAAAUUGUGGGUGGCCACCAGCGAAUAUUCGCGCCGGCGAAAGUAGAAGUCGCGUGUAUUUACCACGUGGCUUAUGAGUAUAUGUGUUGCAUGCAAAGACUCGCACCACGUAGCUGCAUUGCUGUGUUCGUUAGAAACCUCUAUGAAAGGUGGUAUAACUAUGGUCAACACUAGUUGAUUAUGGCAAAGUCAAUGAAUUGUUGACGAGAAGAAAAAUAUGAGAUCACGAUGGACCCAUUGCUUGACACGAUCGAGAAAACUAUUGACAGAAACUAUCAAAGAGGAAACUUCCAUUCAUAGAUUAGCGAGGAAUUCUUUGUUUGACACAUGAUAUGAGAGAAACUUCAUGGGCCAAACUUCCAAUUCAUAGAUUUGAGAGGAAUUCAUAGAGCUCACUAGCAACUCGUCCAGGGAACUCCUCGUGUGCCAAGAGAGCUCCUGGAAUUUCCACAAGCUUGGCCACACCCUUGGCAUCCCGGAGAGCUUCCAUCUCGGCUCUAGAGCGCCUCGGACUGGCCGUGGAAACCAUGACCAACGCUGGGACUUUCCCGUCCAGAGCGCCAAACAGCUCCACAAAUUCUUCCCGGCUCUUCACUGGAUCAAGCAGGCCAGUGAGAAAGGCCGCAGGAGCGUAGCGAGCUCCUGGGAGCUUGGUGAGAGCGAGGCGGCUAUCGACGAUGGCGUCAGUCACGUUGCUCGACUCUGAGUAGACGUGACUUUCGUACUGUUUUCGUAUGUUGCUCCGGCUGCUCACGAGUGCGUUGUAAAGAGCCCAGCCCACGGCAGGCGCUCGCAAAGCUCCUCGAAGGAAUCCAUACCUGUACGUAAACAAUGGCAAAGCGAUAGAGUUGAGAAAGAAAAGAAUGAUUUUGGAACUAAGCACUACUUACUUGGAUACGGCAUCGGGACUUUGUCCGAAAACAAUUGGCAAAGGUCCGGCCCAUGUUGGAGCUACCGCAACCAAAGCUCGGGCAUUGAUCUUUCCUCCGGCGAUGGCCUUUGCGGCAAUGGUUGCAGCAUGACCACCUCCGGCAAUCACUGGAGCUGGAGUAUAAGAAACUAAUUAACUCUUGCACUAGAGUUCUAGAGUAAAGAAAAAAAUGUACACUGACCUGUUGUGCUUCCAAGAGGUCCAUCUUGUGCCAUGACAAAGUCUACGAGGAACUUUUCCAAGGUAUCAGCAGUGUAGUCUAUCGCUGGCCUGUCCGAGAGGCCAAAUCCCGGCCAAUCCACAGUCACAGACCUCCACGAACUGUCCUUUGUGACGAUAUCUUGAGACACGGCUUUCCAUUCUUCCGUGGUGCUCACGUCCGACACAGUUGGAAGUAGUAGCAGGCAUUUGUCUCCAACACUGGAUUGCUCGACAAAAUUGAUUUUCAAGGAGGAAUUGUUGUGCCUCCACGACCAAGAUCCAGUCUAACAAACAGCUACAACUAGCUUGGUUGGGAACUAGAAGGAGGAGGAAAUGUACCUUUGUUGGUGCUGGUUUCUCAGCAAGCGCGGCCUUUGGAGAAAAUUUACGCAAUGAAGUGAAGCAAAGUUUUGAUCCUUUUGGUGUCACAAUUGCGCUCCCAAGACGCAAUUGUCCUAGCGCUGAGCCCUGUACAGAGACGGCCAUAGCCACAACAAAAAAAAUCUCAGUCAAAACUUCUUAAGACAAACAUACCGUUGAUUUUUUCUUACUUCUAGAAAGCAACCUCCUGUAACAGCAUAAAAACCUAUAAGAACGAAAGAAAGAAAAGAAACUUUCUUACCAUGUCACCUGUCUAAACCACUGGUUGGUUCGUCCAUAGCCACUGGAAGAAAGAAAAACCAAGUUUUAGAAGCCAAAUAUGAAUCAAUCUCUUACCUGAUUCUUCCGAAAUUCUCAGGCCUCCUCUGUAGCUCCAGCAAAAAUCCCUGCCAGAAGCGAGUAUCCCGACGUGUUCUCCGGAUGGCUUCUAAGAAGUGACUCCGCAACCGAGGCUCCACGACCAACAUCACCAUCCGCUCGACAAGAAUUGAGCAGCGUCGUCAAUGCCAUGGAGUCGGGCACAAAAGGCAUACUCUCGACGAGCUCCACGGCAUCUCUCACGCGUCCAGACCGAGCAAGGAUGUCCACCAUGCAAUGGAAAUGCUCCACGCUUGGAACAAUCUCCUGGUCCCUGGACAUGGAGACGAAGUAGUAAUGGCCAUCGUCGACGAGCCCAGCAUGAGAGCAAGCAGUGAGAACUCCCAGAUACGUGAUCGUGUUUGGCCUCAGCCCAGCUUGAUCCAGUAACCGGAAGAGCUCCAGAGACUCGUCGUCCAUGCCGCUGCUAGCAUAGGCUUGGAUCAUCGUUGUCCAGGAGAUCACACACUGCUGGGGAGUGGCAUCGAAGAGCGUCCGAGCUUCCUGGAGCUGGCCGGCCUGUCCGAGCGCUUGAAUCAUCGUUGUCCAAGAGAGAGCACUGUUCUUGGGCAUUCGUGAGAAGACACGACGAGCCUCGGCAAUAUGCCCGUUCUGGGCAUAUCCAUGGAUCAAGGCUGUGAACGCUACCACGUCCUUGCUGGGCAUUCGAUCGAAAGUUUCUCUAGCUCUGUCCAUCAGUCCUUUGAGCGCGUAAGCAGCGAGCAUCGACGUCCAGGCCACUGUGUCUAGAUCCAGCCUCGAGUAAAAGAGCUUCUCAGCCUCUUCAAGAUACCCAUUCAAGGCAAAUCCCUUGACAAGCGCGCUCCACACCACCACGCUUCCUAAAUCCUGGUACUUCUCUAGCAGAUCCCUGGCAGCGUCCAUCUCUCCACCCUGCCCAAGCGCUGUGAUCACCGUGUUCCACGAAUUCUCGUCCCAGCACGGCAUUCUCUCGAGCAAGACUCUCGCGAGAUCCGCCUGGCCGGAUUGGCUGUAGCCCAGUAGCAUCCCAUUCCACGAGACCAGAUUCUUCCCCGGCAUGGCGUCGAAGAUCCGGCGGCACUCCACCGCUCCACCCACCUGGGCGUUCACUGUGAGCAGCGCCGUCCACGAGAACACAUCCCUGGCCGGCAUUCUCUCAAAGAUCCAUCGAGACGAUUCCACUCGCCCGCUCGUCGCGUACGACUGGAUCAUCGUGUUCCAAGAAACCAAAUCCCUACCCUGGACGAUCCCAUCGAACAAGCCCCGUGCCUCGACCGUGUGGCCGCUGUCCGCGUAGGCGACGAUCAUCGCGUUGACAGCCACGGCAUCGCGAUCCUCCGGCAUGGAGUAGAAGAUCUGACGCGCGCCCUCAAGAUCCCCAGCUAGGGCAUAGCCCUGGAGAAUGGCGGUCCAGGAGACGAGAUUGGGCUGUGGCAUUCUAUCAAAGAACGAUCGCGCAACGUCCACGUGUCCGGCAUUGGCGUAGGCAGUGAUCAUGGCCGUCCAUGAGAUCACGCUCUUGAGCGGGAGCUCCUCGAACGUGGAUCUGGCCUCCUCCAAAUGCCCGUUCUGGGCAAAUGCUGUGAUAAGGAGAUUAUAGGAGAAUGUGUUGGGCAUUGGCAUCGAUUGGAACACCGCCAAUGCCUCGGCAGCGCUGUGGCAUUUUCCAUAGCUCUCGAUGAGGAGAUUGAGUAGGAAUCGAUCGCCUCCGUUAGUCUUGCUCGCGCUGAUUUGGGCGUGGAUGAUUCGAGAGCGGGCGAGGUCCCUGGCUGCGCCGGCGACUUUGAUGGCCCUUGCGGCUUCUUUCCAAUCGAAUGAUUCGGAGGAGAAAGAGCUUGCAGUCAGAUCGAGAAGAGAUCUCGCUCGUUUCCUCUCAUUCCUGACGAGCAUAACAUUUGGUUCAAGCUAAAUGUGAGCUUUAUUAAAUUAGACUUUUUUAAGCCAGAAGUUAAGUUAAGAGUUUUAACCAAAUGUAUUAAGCAUCAGUAGUCCAACGGUUAGGAUAAUUGCCUUCCAAGCAAUAGACCCGGGUUCGACUCCCGGCUGAUGCAUUGAUUUAGGGAAACAUUUUAUGUAACCACGACCUAAAGGUAAUUUUCCUAAGUUACCAAAAGGAACUACUUAAACACGAGCAUAUAAACAGUGGAGACCUAAAGGAAGACACAUUUUCCUUUACGAGAGUUAUGGCGUCGUGGUUGCAAGCUCUGUUGAACGUGACGGACUUCUUCACAGCGUGUGAACUCCACGCCAACUGCACAUCCGGGAAACGCAAGAAGAGCUUCUUCUGCAAGCAGUGCUUAGCGUCCCUGUGUCAAGAAUGCAAAAAGGAUCACCGGACUUGCGAUCCCCGAAACGCUUUGCAGAUCGUAAUCUCAGGCCGCCUUACUGCACUCAAGGCGUGUGAGGCGGAGCGCCUCAUCGAUACGUCGGGGAUGGAGACGUUUACCAUCAACGGAGGCCCAAUCUUUUAUCUCCACGCCAGGCCCCGAGGAAUAGAGGUGCAAAACUCGGUACUAUGCCGCCACUGCAAGAGGGUGCUGCACGGAGCUCUCUACUGCUCGCUCUACUGCAAGCUUCAGUGCCGAGGGUUGCACGCGCUCGAGCCCCAGGGUCAGGAUGAGAACACUCCGCCACCUUUUCCUCAGCCUAGCGUGGCUCAAGAUGGUGAUGUUUUACGGAACGAUCAUGCCCGGGUCGUCGUUAAGGUCAAGCCAAAGGAUCGGCCUAGGGCUCCCAAGGCGAAGGCUCCGUGCAAUAGGAAACGAAAGCAGCCAGAGCAAAGCUCCAUUGAGCAAGUUUGUGCGAGGAGAAUGGACGAAGCUAGUAUCCCUUACAAUACUGUAGAGCCUGAGAAGUCUGCUCUUCAAGGAUUUAGAAAGCGGGCAAGGAAAGGUAUCCCAACAAGGUCACCCAUUUUUUGAAAUGUAAAUUCUAUGAUGAUUGAACAAUUCAAUGUUAUAUUGUGCUUGAUCUUCACUCACCUUUUUGUUGAAAAAUGUAUAUUAAACAUGUUUAUUUACAGUUUGUAAGCUUCAAUAACUUGCUCCUUGGACGGAACGUUCAAGAGGGAAACGUUGCCAAAGCCACUUUUUUCAAGCAGCACCUUGUGUUCUUCAAAUCGCCUGGUCUUGCCACCGUCGGUGUAGGUCCAGCCCCGUCCUUGGAGUACAUAAGGUCGACCACUAUCAUCUUGCCUCCUCGUGGCAGAGCUUUGUUGCAAUUCGCCAGCAUCUUCAGGCAAUCCUCGUCGCUAAAAUUGAGCAAAGUAGACUGAAGAAACACCAAUGAUCAAAACAAAGAGCAAGAGUUACAACCUUGAUAAAAAGAGCAUCAGCACUUGGUACACUCUCAAACAUAUUUCCUCCCACCUGGAAAAGCAUAAAGACAUGGAGGAAUCAGAAACAAAACUUCAAUCCUUACCGGGAAUGGCUGGAGCGCUCUCAACAGUGUGAGGGAGAUCAAAGUUGACACCUUCGAUGUGGGGAUAUUUCUCCACGAUCUUGCCCAUGCACAUUCCAAGGCCACCAUCCACGAGCUUCUUCGCGUCUUUGAAUCCAUCGUAGUGCUCGUGGACGAGGGAGAUGGUGACGCUGCUCCACGCGAACAUAGGAUCGUUGAGCAGCUUCACGUACUCGUCGCUGUGGCCGGUGUCGUGCUCCCAAACACGACAUUUGUUGGCAAUCUCGUAAGCGUGGCCUCCAUUCAGCACCACCUUUAGGACGUGCACCUUCAGCACCAUUCAGCACGUGCGUGCAUAGCAGCAGGUGAUGAUGCUCCUCCGCAAGCCCCUUGGAGAUUGGAGUGAGGCCGUAGUACGUUUCUCCAUCUUUCUCGUCGAUCUUCUUGCUCAGUGCCCGCUUGUGGACCAGAAACUGGAGGAGUCUCUCGAGGAGAUCCGGCUGACAGUUCUUCGCGUUCGAGAGACGUGACACGACAGCGAGAAGAUCAUGCUCUUGAGAUCAAAGUGGCCUUGAGCAUCUUCACUCAUGGUGUUAGAUCCAGGCACCAUACCCUACUGAUUCUGAAAGGACGAGAGUAAAUGAAAACCUUCUUUAAGACUGGUUGAAAUGUCACUUCCCUGUCUACUGUAUUUUAAGGUCCACGCUGCCAGAACAGCGUGACAAAGUCGGAAAAUAUCCUUGCGUGACAAAGUCAAGGUCGCAAAAACUAUAUCUUCAUCGGGAUUUCACCAUCAAUAAAUAUGCUCCUGCAACAAUUUGAUCAUCAUCAAGCUCCAGCAGUGACUUGAAUGCUAGCUGCCCAACGCUAGUAAAACUGAGACGAAAGUAAUCCAAACGCUUCGUCUUGCAUCUUUUUAAAGAGGCUGAAAACUUCGUGAGGCUGCUAGAGCGUUUUACCAUGUCUUCUCCGGGCGUAGAGUCGAAGACCAACCUAGAGCUUCAUUUGUUUCAUCCCCAGUUCUGCAAAUUUUUGUCACCGGCGCUCAAGAAAGUAAAAUAAAGUCAAUUCAAAGUGAACAUAGUCAAUUCAAGUCAAGUCAAGGCACCAAGUGUAUGAAAUAUGGAAAGGGAAUACAGAAAAUGUAUUUGAGGCCAUGUUGUGUUGAAAGAUCUAUAAAAAAAUGUAAGUCUUAGCUACUGCAAAAUAAUCAAACAAGGAAACUGCUGCAACAUCUCUAUCAUUUAGCAAUGAUCGAUGUAAGACGAUGAAAUGACACACUCUUGAUUCGAGCAAACAUCACCAUAUCCAUAUGCUAUAGUUGUCACAAAAGUUAAGCAGAAGUUGACAUACCAAGCACAAAAUCUGCUCCAUGGCGUCGGUCACGCGUCCAGAGUGCGGAAUUCUUCAUGGCAUCGUUACUUUAGGCCACCUAUCCCCAAGCGGCAAAAUCUCCAGGAAGAAUAUUAUCCAAGCCUCAAACUCUUUUAUUUUUAUCGAUGAUGCUCGCUUCAACACUGGAGCAGUCCAUAUUGUCAACGGUGACAAUAAACUCUAAAAUACAACCAGCACAAACAUCUCAUUCACUUUGUUUAGAGCUUGUAAGCUUCUAUAACUUGCUCCUUGGAAGGAACGGCCACGAGGGAAACGUUGCCAAAGCCACUGUUCUCGAGCAGCGCUUUGUGUUCUUCAAAUCGCCUGGUCUUGCCACCGUCUGUGAAGCCGAUCAUAAUCAUGUCCAGGUCCAUCUCGAAUGGUCCCUCCUUGGAGUAUAUGAGCUCGAUCACUAUCAGUUUGCCUCCUCUUGGCAGAGCUUUGUAGCAAUUCGCCAGCAUCUUGAGGCAAUCCUCGUCGCUAAAAUUGAUCAUAACAGACUGAAGAAACACCAUGACGAUCACAACCUCAAGGAAAAAGAAGACAGAGUACCUUGAUAAGAAGAGCAUCAGCACUUGGUACACUCUCAAACAUGUUGCCUCCCACAUGAGCAACACCUGUUAAGAAAAAAACAUGAAGAAAUCAAAAGAAGAUGUGUCUUGAAUCUUACCGGGAAAGGCUGGAGCACUCGAAACGGUGUGAGGGAGAUCAAAGUUGACACCUUCGAUGUGGGGAUACUUCUUCACAAUCUUGCCCAUGCACAUUCCAAGGCCACCGCCAACAUCCACGAGCUUCUUCACGUCUUUGAAUCCAUCGUAGUGCUCGAGGACGAGGGAGAUGGUGACGCUGCUCCAAGCGACCAUAGCAUCGUUGAGCAGCUUCACGUACUCGUCGCCGUGGCCGGGGUCGUGCUCCCAAACACGACAUUUGUUGGCCAACUCGUAAGCGUGGCCUCCAUCCAGCACUGCUUCAUUCACCUUUUGGAACGCGGCCAUGCCAUACUCGUGCGUGCACAAGAGCAGGAGAUGGUGCUCUUCCGCGAGCCACUUUGAGAUUGGAGUGAGGCCGUAGUACGUUUCUCCAUCUUUCUCGUCGAUCUUCUCGCUCAGUGCCCGCUUGUGGACCAAAAACUGGAGGAUUCUCUCGAGGAGGUCCGGCUGAAUGUGCUUGACAUUUGAGAGACGUGACACGAUCUGCUUGAGGGAAAGCGGGCCUGCCUUGGAGAUCAUCUCGGGAAUCCCGAGCAGCACCACAGCCUUGAGCAUGAAAGGAGUCACCAGCGAGAAGAUCAUGCUCUUGAGAUCAAAGUGGCCUUGAGCAUCUUCACUCAUGGUGCUAGAUACAGGCGCCAUACUGCCUUCUGCUUCUGAAGGAUGAGAGCAAAUGAGAGCCUUUUUAAGCCUUGAAAUGUCACUUCCUUGUCUAGUGUAUUUUAGAUGGACCUUGCCAGAACAGCGUGACAAAGUCCUAAAGUCAAGGUUGUAGAAACUAUAUCUUCAUCGGGCUUUCACCAUCAAUAAAUAGGCUGCUGAAACAUCUCGAUCAUCACCAAGCUCCAGCAGUGACUCGAACGCUAGCUGCCCGAUGCUCGAGUUUUUCCACUUGCCACAAGCACCUAGCACAGUCCUCCAAGUCAGUGAACUCGGCUCAAAAGGCAUCCUUCUCACCAUGGCAACAGCCUCAUCCAGCCGGUUGGCUCGGCCGAGAAGAUCAACCACGCAGUGGUAGUGAUCAAUGUCGGGUUUUACACCAUACUUGGACAUCAUUUCCUCAAAGUAGCGAGUGCCUCGCUCGACAAGGCCAGCAUGACUGCAUGCCGUCAAAACUGAGACAAAAGUAAUACCAUCAACUCCAAGAGCUUCGUCUUGCAUCCUGUGAAAGAGACCGAGAACCUCGUCAGAAUCCCCUUGACGAGCGUAAGAUGCUAACAGAGCGUUCCAGCUUACCAUGUCUUCUCCGGGGGUAGAGUCAAAGACCAGCCGAGAAUUAAUCGUGCUUCCACACUUGCCAUACAAAUCCACCAAGCAAGCAGCUACAACUUCAUCGUUUUCAUCCCCAGCUCUGCAAAUUUCUCUGUGGAGCCUUCUCCCUGUUUCCAAAUCCACCUGAUUGCUACAGGCCUUAAGAGCAGCGGCGAAAGUUUGCGCAUCAGCUGAGUAGAGCUUCUCGUUUUCCUGGAGCUCAAGGUAUAACUUGAGAGCAAAUUCUUCCUUACAAUUCUCGGCAUAACCGAGAAUUAACGUGUUCCAGGAGACGAGAUCAUGGCACGGCAUCCUGUCGAAGACCAUUCUGGCAUCGAGCAUAUUUCCACACCGCGCAUAUAACUCCACCAGGGUGCUGCUAACAAAAAAGUCUACCUCCCAGCACCCGGCUGCUGCUUGAGAAUGGAUAGCCAUGCCUCUGUCUAGAGCUCGUAGCUUCACAGCCUUUCCAUCGUCGACAUGCUUCCCUGGCUCUCCUACUGCAAGAGCAAUGCAUGCGUUCAAUGCAGCAACAUAAGACUGCGCGUCGGGCUCAACUCCCAUGACUGAGAAAAGUUCCAGGGCCAGUUCUUCGUUCCCGUUCUCCACGCAGCCGGCCAUCAAAACAGUCCACGAAACCACGCUGUGAGAAGACAUCCUGUCGAAUGCCCUGCGUGAAUCUUCCGAGCUCCCACACUUUGCAUAAGUGUCCACGAGCGUGUUGUCGAAGAAGAUGCUCGAGUCCAAGGAGUACCUCAAAGCUUGCGAGUGAACCAUCAUCGUUUUCUCAAGAGCCUUCAGCUUGCUGCCUGGUAGACAAUUCUCGGCUAGUCUCCCACAAGCUCUGAUUGCAGCAAUGAAAACCCCCGAGUCUGGCUCGCAACCUUUCGGCUUCAUGAACUCGAAAACUUCCAGAGCCCGGCUUUCUUCUCCAUUCUCAGCAUAAGCCAGGAUCAAAGUAGUCCACGCCACAACAUCAGGAUAACUCAUCUCCUCGUAGGCUCUCCAUGCAUCAACCAAGCUUCCACACUGAGAAUACAUCUCGACCAAAGCAGAUCCCAGGAAUGCAUCCCUGUCACAGCGCCCCGCUAAGCCAUGAACUUCACGGCCCUUCUCCAAAGACCUCACCUUCACCAGCUUUCCAUCAAGUUUCCUCGCCUGUUCUUUGGCUGCCAAGUUGCUACAAGCCUUCGUUGCAGCAACAAACGUUCGAGAAUCGAGCUCGCAGAAACCAUCCAUAGACUUGAAAACAGCAAGAGCCAAAUCUUCCUCAUCGUUUUCCACAUAGCCGAGGAUGAGUGAGUUCCACGAUACCACAUUGCUGGAGUCCAUCUUGUCAAAUAUCAUGCGUGCAUCCAGCAGGCUACCACACUUCCCAUACAUGUCCACAAGGCUGGUUGCCAGAAAACUCUCCGAGAUCCAGCCAGUCUUGACGGCUUCACAGUGAACCGACAUUCCUUUCUCCAGAGAAGCUAGUUUGACGAGUUUUGUGCCAGCGACGAUCUUUCCCUCUUCUUUCAAAGCCAGACUCGUGCAGGCCUUCACAGCCACUGACAACGUUCGAGCAUUUGGAGCGCACCGCGCGUUCUCUUUCAUGGACGCCAGAAGUUCCAGUGCCAGAUCUUCCUCUUCGUUCUCGACAUAUCCCAGCAUCAAAACUGUCCAGGCCACGACGUCCGGCGAGCUCAUCCUGUCAAAGACUGCCUUCGCAUCGACCAAGCUCCCACACUUCGCAUACAUCUCCACCAGGCUGCUACAAACGAAAGCAUCCCCCUCGAAUCCAGUGCUCGCUGCUUGCAAGUGAAGAGCCCUGCCCCUCUCCAGACUUUUCACCUUCCAAAUCUUUCCAUGGAGUUCUCGAUAUCUUUCUCUCGACGCCAGCCCCGCGCACGCCUUGAGAACAGCAGUGAAAGUCCGCUCGUUUGGAGCACAGCCUUCCUGUUGCAUGGUAGAAAAGAGAGUGAAUGCCAAAUCAAUUUCCCCAUUCUCGGCAUACCCGGCAAUCAUAGUAGUCCACGAGACAACGUCGCGAAUCGUUGGCAUGGCAUCAAACACGGCCCUCGCGAGCGCCAUGCUUCCACACUUCGCAUACAUAUUAAUCAGGCUGCUGGCCACACGAAUGCUGCAAGAAUCAUGCCUGGAUUCGAUGGCAUGAGCGUGGAUAAUCGUCCCGGCCUCUAAAUCUCUCAAGCUGCUGCACGCUUUCAGUGCGAAAAUCACAACAGGGACCACAUCCGGCUCCUCGUGACCCACACGCUACAAGAAGAUCAUGAAGCACGCAUCAUCGAGGGAGAAAAUCAAACUUACAGCUUCUUUCUCUUGGAGCGCCAUCGCGAAGAGCGAAUGUGGAUGCCGAGAGACCCGGAUCUGAAAGAGAGAUCGAUCACAGCGUCGCAGCAUGCCAUAAUUCUGCCAGGAUUCUUCGAGUUUUUGGAGCCCUAAAUCUUUCACCUGUUAUUUAUCAGUUAGCGGAUUUAAUAUAGGGUUCUAAGAUGUCUAGGCUCGUUCUCGGUUGGUUUUGCGUUGUUGCUUUGGGAGCGUCACUACUUUUGCUAUCACUUACUGAAUCAAAUCCACCAGUGCAGCAGAGAGCACGAAUUCACAAUUGUCACUUCUUGGGUAACCAAACAUGUCCCUCUUAUUUCAACUGGAUAGAACAUGAUCUUGCACCAUGGAAGGGUGGAAUAACUAGGAAAGCUCUUGAAGCUGGCAAGGAGAAGGCUUAUUUUAGGGUGAUCAUUCUGGGUGGUAAGCUAUACACUCAGACAUACAAGCAGUGCUUUCAAACCAGGGCUGAAUACACACUCAAGGGAUUGGCAAUGUUGUUGAAUGAGUUCCCUGGAAUGGUUCCUGAUGUGGAUAUUAUGUUUAAUUGCCAAGACCAUCCUCUCGUUCCCAGAUGGCGUUACCUCUUCACAUCACCUCCCCCUGUUUUUGGGUAUUGCACAACAAGAAAUCGGCAUUAUGAUAUUGUCUUUCCAGAUUGGUCUAUAUGGGGAUGGUAAAUUCUCUAGUUUAAUAAUGUUUUUUUGUUAAUUUUCUUUGCAGGCCAGAAGUAAAUAUCCCUCCUUGGAGCAUUGAGAGUGAAAGAAUCUUUACGGAAGCCGAAAAGAUUGAUUGGUUUAGAAGAAAACCUAUUGCAUAUUGGAGAGGAAAUACGCAAAUGGGACUAAUAAGGUCUAAUCUGGUUAAGUGCAACUCUACAAAUAUACUAAUUCAACAUCAGGUAUAUAAAUCUAUAAUUAUCAACUUAUUAUAUUGAUUUGUUUUUUCAGGAUUGGAUUACAGAAGAAAAAGCCAAUUUCACCAAUUCUGAUUUGUCUAACCAGUGUUUCUCAAGGUAAGAUUUAUUUAUGUGUAACAGUUAACUUAUAUGAAUUCUAGAUAUAAAAUCUAUGCCGAAGGCAAUGCUUGGUCAGUGAGUUUGAAGUAUAUAUUGUCAUGUGGAUCAACAAUGUUAAGGAUUGAACCAUAUUAUUGGGAUUUCUUCUCAAGGUCUUUACUUCCACAUGUUCAUUUUCUACCAAUUACUAGAGAAAAUAUUUGUGAUUCUAUUCAAGAAGCCAUACAAUGGAGUAAUUCAAAUAUCUAUGAGGUUGGUUUUUUUAAUAUAAUUGUAUUUAAUUUUAACAAAUUCCUUUACUUAAAAGGCUGCUAUGGUUGGAAAAUGUGCUCAGAAUUUUUUGAAAGAACAACUCUCAACAGAUUAUGUAUAUCAAUAUAUGCUACAUAUACUUCAAAGGUAUGCAAAAUUACAAAAGUUUAAACCAGUAUUAGUACCAGGAAUGAAAUAUACUCAUUCAUAUAUACCUAUGAAUGAAAAUAAUCAAAAGAAAAUAUUAUGUUCUAUUUCAUGAAUAAGAAGAACUUAAAUAUACAUAUUUAGAACUAUAAAAGUAACCGCAGAUGGUGAGCGAGGAAACGUGUCGCUCUGGCGCCCACAACCAAACCACAUCCACUACAAAGGACAAGGUGAGGAAUCCAGCACUCGCGUCCAUCCACAAGCAAGCAGGGCAAUGCCAGCUGAAACAGGACCAUCCACUACAAGGGACAGGCAGACAACAUCGAUGCUGACGAAAUUGGAUGACAAAUAGACCAAUUGUCACACUUGCAUACUUGAAUCCAUUGGUGUCAUGCUUCUUGGUGGAAACCUUGUAAACAAGUAACAUGAAUGAAUGAAUGAAUUUAGAGGUAAAAAAACAUAACAAAAAAGGACAAUUGGAUCAGGACAUAAUGAUGAUUCGAGACCGUUGGACUUUAACAUAUCCUGCUUUUAUAGCUCCAAUCCGGAAACUCUCCAGGUGAAAUCUUGUGGAUUUGAUCUAUGACCAUGCACUAGGCGCGCAUUUUCGAGCACGGCUGCGAUGUAAUAUUGAUUGCCAAGGAGAGGAAUGGAGAAGGUUUGGCGUCACCAUCAGGCGGCUCUGGAGAACUACAUCACCCCAGAGCAUAUGACGUACUAACAUUAUUGACAAAUACGUGAUAGAUAGAAAUGGUUGUUUGAGUGUGGCUCAACUGUUUUUUUCAGGCUUGGAUUGAAAAAGCAAAAGCUAAAAGCUGAAACUACUUGCCAAGGACGGAAGAACACCGUGAGUUUGCCAGCCUCUUCAAGCAAACGUCCUGAUAGAAAAGGACUCAUUUGUUUGCUUUUGGUGCUUGUCGUCUUACCACGCCGUCUUCUAGAGAAAGGUGCUCUCAACGAUUUUUAUGUGAACGUGAUAGUGACGGCAAAUUGAUCUUUUCAAUGGCCGAGACAAUGAAGUUGCAAAGAGUUGUAGAGAUUCUAGCAAGAAGAACUCCCAUCUUACUUGGAGAGCCUAGUGUUGGCAAGACAGCGAUUGCUGAAGGCCUUGCCAUAGAAAUGUUCCAGAGUUUCUCACGGUGAGUGGAUUUUUGUAAAUUGUGGUGAAGUUUACAUGUUUCUGCUGGCACAUACAGGAGAACCGAGCGCUGUCUCUGGAUAUGGAAUUGUUUGCUGGAGCUAGAGAGCGUGGUGAAUUGAGCAGCAGGUAAAGUUGUUUUUUGGUUUGUUUAUACUUAGAAUGAUAUAUCUAAUAAUGCUUGAUAUCACAAGGCAACGUUAUACUUCUAGAGACGAAGUCCAUACGCUCGUUGGCUCAGGCUUUGUUGGCGGAAGAGGUGGAAAUAAAGGGGCAGGCUUGGACAUUGUGAAUUUAUUGAAGCCUGCAUUAGCGAGAGGCGAACUUCUGGUAAAGAUUAAAAAACUUCACUUCUAGGAUUAUGUUUGCUUAGUCCUUCAGUGUAUAGGUUCGACGAGCAUAGAAAACACAUAAAAAAAAUAAGCGAGGAGGUUUCAACCUGUUCUUGUAAAUGAACCUCGUCAGGUUUGUGUUGCUACUUGGUUUAUGAAGUCGUUGACUAUUUUUCUGGUUUGCAGGAAGACUGUGACGACUCUUAAAGAAUACGUGAUAUAUAUGAAGAGUAUCACAAAUGUAAAAUUACACCAGAAGCAGUUGAUGCUGCUGUAUAUUUGUACACCGAUGACAGAGCAAGUGAUUUGAUCGACGAGGCUGGCCCAUAUGAUGCAUUUAAGCGCAGGAAAGACAAGCGAGCCGGAAAGCUUCCCAAGAAGUACUGACAAGCACUUCGUGUGCUCGCAAGUGACUUUUUUUUUGGUUUUAACAAUUGCCUUUUCAGGCCUUUCUUCCGCAAAGUUCUUCGGAGUAUCUUAUUGGAAGUGCUGCAAACACGUUAUAACAGAAGGCUGUAUAUAUCGACCAAGAGUCAAUUUCGUUACCAGUUAAUGAACAAAUGGAAAGGUACUUUUCUUGUUCUUCGUCUGUGAAGCUUUGUUUUUCGUCUGCAGCUCGAAGAUAGUUGGACCACGUCCAUGGACGCAGUGAACGUCAUAUCGCGAGCAGCUCCCAGGGCACAAGUCGGACUCAAGGAUUCAGAUUGGCCGAUCGCUACCAUGCUCUGUUGUAGGGAAAACGAAGCUUACACAAAAGCUCUAUGUGAAAACGCCUGUGAAUGCUUUACCUGUGAAUCGGGUGAGGCUCCAAAAGCUUGUUGAAGAUGUCUUUCUCGAUUUUGUAGAAGAGGAUAACAGUGAAGAACCUUGAACGCUGAGAGAGGCUGUUUGCAAGACACUCACCAUCCGGGAGAACAGAUAAGCUUGCUCACGAUAUAUGGCAGCCUCAUGUCCAACCUUAUCAUGGCGUCCUCCUGAAAGAAAAAAAGUCUGUUAUGUACAUGCAUAUGAAAAGAGUUACGGCUCCAACAAAGUGUCUCUUUCAGGAACAAUGACAUCUAACAUUGGCUCCUCGGGGAGUAAGCAGCAAGAUCAGGCAAAGGUGGUGACGAAAUAGACGAAGAAGAGACUCUCUCACCUGGUGAAUGUCAUAAGGAAUGAGCAUCUUAACCUUUGUUGUAGCCCUCGUUGCAAACCAGCUUCACCAGAUUGACACCUGGCCAGCAACAAUGGCAUGGAUCCAGCACCACAGUGCACUGAUAUAGGAUCUUUGAACACACUCACUUUGAGGCACUCAAGAUAUUAAAAGAAACACACUUGUUCAAACAAAAGAACACACAUCCACAAAUGAAUAUGAGCACACUCCAAUUUAAACCAUAUUUAAGAUGCCUGUAAGUAACAAAACACUUUCUACUCUAAAACAUACUCCAAGAAACACUAUUAGAUAUAAAUCCUUAAGAGGUGGGGUGAAGCCUAGCUUAACCCCUAUUGCUCCCACUUUUAUUCUCCAGCUGAUUUUUAGGAUCUUAAAAUCCUCUUUGCAUGUGCUUGUAUUGUUUAAACAUUGGAAAUAGUUAAAGUUUAGUGGGAUCUAAAUUAACAAAGUGAAAGAACCAUCAUAAAUGAUUCAAUGAAUCUUUAAGUUGGGGGUUCUAUACUCUUUAGAGGAUGUGCAUGAUGUUGAACUAUUGACAAAUAAUAGUUUGGUGCAAAAGAUAAAAUAAUAAUUUAUGAUGAGAUUACUUCAAAAAAUAUGUUAUCGUUUGAUGAGAAUAUCGAACUUCGUUUAUGGGUGAUAGAGUUAAGACAUAAAUCCCUAAGUCCUAAAAUAGAGUUAAAUGUAUGAUUGUUAAAUGUUGAAUGUAACAUGUUUGAAUUGAAAGCUCUAACUUGAGAAGUUAAAAGUAAGAAUGGAACUCUUAAAGACAUACUUGAAAAACAAAUAUGAAAUAAUUAAUAAAUGAGUCUUUAGAAAUGAACAUAACACAUGAUUAGUGUCGAGACCAAAUGUGAGACCACAUCUUAGAUUGUCUUCAAGAUUAAGUCUAAGAUUAAGUCCGAAAUCAAGUGUAACAUAUAUAGUUUUCAUCCUUUAUCACCAUCGGAUAACCAUAAAGUGGAACUUAACCCUUAGAUAUAUAGGCCAAAGGCAAUAGAAUAGAAUCCAAGUUUUAAAGCUUUAGACCAUUGAAUAAAGGGAUAGAGUAAACUUUUAAGCAUAUAGCUAAAAAGCAAAAGAAUUAAAACAUCAAAUAACUCUUGAAACUUUUAUUAAAAGUUAUUUUGUGCUCUAGUUCCUUUGCUCCUUAUUUGAACCAAUAUAGUUAUGAAAGGCUAGUGUAUAUGAAUAUUGAGGAAUUCAAGGCUAAAGUGAACAUAGAUAGACAAAUAGGAUGACUUAGUGAAGUGUCUAAGAGUCAACUCUAACUACUUCGGGAGAUCGAAUAAUCAAUACUCUCAAUUUAAAUAUAGUGUAAGCAAUUAAAUUUUCUAUUCUACUAUAGUCUCAUAUUUAACCACUUAGAGGAAUCUUACUCACAACCUCAAUAAGUUUUAUUCUUGACUUGGGGAUAUGCAAGUCUAUGAAUGGCAUUUAUGCCACUUAACUUUUGCAUUUGGUCCAAGUGCAAGUUCCACUGAUCUUUGGGACUUCCUCACUAUGUGACCAUGCCUUUGGUUAUUAUAUAAAAACAUUUUUGCUCUUCCUUUCCACAGAUUAGAACUUUAGGAUGACAUUUCGAAAUACUGUGGUCCUACAUAAGCCUUGUAAGUACUCUCCCCACCAUGGUCUUACAUGAGCCUCUUGGACUUUUUUUCGGACACUUUCUUAAACUCUAUCUCGAACUUUAUCUUAGACUCUUUGACACUUCCAUAUGUCAUAACACUUACCAUGUGUCAGUCUUUUUUGUGUCCUUUUCAAAAGACUUAUUUAUCGAUCGCUUCGUGCUCAUUCCUAAAGCACUUCAUUUGGAGUUCUAUUUUUGCUUUCAACUUUCCAAAUUUGAGUUUUUGGUCCAAAUGUGUUAUACUCAUUGGACUUCACUUUAACCACUGCCAUGUGGCACACUUUUAGCUCCACUUUGGGGCCUAGGGAUUUGUGUGUCACAUAUGGGUAGCACUACCUAUUUAGAUACCUUAUGUUGCUCAUUGAAACCUCACUUAUCCAUAUGGUUAAAACACCCUAAUGGCAGAAGGUGGGGAGAGUACCUAUAAAGCUCUCAUUGGCUGUGAUGUUAUCAUCCCAAAAUCUCUAACAAUGGAAAGGGAGAGGAGUGGCCCUUUUAUGUAGUAACUAAAGGUAUAGUUACAUAGUAUAGAAAGUUUUAGAGAUUAGUGGGAUUUAGUGGUUAGGUUGUUGGGCACUAAUCUAGUGUAGUGUUGGUGAGCACUACUAGGGAUGAAGAGGGACUUGGCAGGAAUUAAAGAAAUGAUAAUGGGGGAUAUUGUUCCUUAUGUUUUAAGGCAUCUUUAUAAAUGUUAAAAAGUGGUUAUAGAAUGACUAUUUAUAAAUGGAAGGUUUAGUCUUGGAGAGAUGGGACAGUAGUAAAGGUGGUAUUAGAUUACCAAUGAGAUAGUGAGGAUGGUAUCUUCAACUAUCUAUAAUGCAACUAAAUACAUGGAGCACUUGAAUUAAAUACUUUGUUAGUGUGGGUUUUGAAAUCACCUUUAGAGGCUAGAAAGUUUCUUAAGUUAGAAUAAGGAUUUACAAAGGUUGUGAGUGAGACUCUUCUAAGUGGUCAAAGAUGUCACUAACUGACUAAAGUAGAAUGAAAAAUUUAAUUUCUUACACACUCCUACUUUUUGUUAAGAUUCAAUACAAGAAUCAAGGUGAUAAUAAGAUGGCUAAUACAUUAUCAUGAUGAUGAAGGAUGAUGAAUUCUAUCAUGCAAGAAAGCCAUUUUGCUUUCUUUCUUUUGUGGCUAUUUGUUGUGACAUUAAAGUUGUUAUUUGCACAUCUUUUUUCCAUGGACAUAUUGACUUAAACUUCCUUUAUAUAAAGCUCAUUUAGCUUCUUAAGGCUAUCAUUUGUGGCUAGUUCAUGAGGGAGGGGAGAAUGAUAGGAACCACAAAUUUUUUUUAAGAAUAUUUUAUAACAUGUGGGAUUUAAAGCCAUCAUGCCUUUAGGGUUGGGAAAUUUGCCUUCAAAGGUAUAAGUUAGUGUGCCUAUUAUGCAAUGCAAUAGGAUUGUGAAAAAGCAUGAGUGACAAAGUGGGAGGUGAAGAAGAUAUAUUUUCUCACAAUGGCUCAGAAGUGUGGGGAUGCAAACUCUCUAAAAAGCAGUGGGGAAACCUGGAAAACAUCACAUCGACUUUCAUUUUGGACGAACUCGGCAUCUCCAUCAAAACAGCACUCCUCAUCCCCUUCAUGGAAGCCAAUCUCUUCCCACUGGAGAUCAUGCCAUGGCAACAUACAAUCCAAUACCUCUACAAAACUCACUUUACCAUAUGGCAAGCUCAUGGAUCAAGCAAUUCUUGACUCUCAGUGGCAUGACAUGGAGACGUUGAUGCAGAAGUUUGGCAUGGAUCUCAAUGACAUUCUCAGCGCACUUGAAGAGGAUCUUGAACAAUAGUCGAACAAAGCAAUGCACACAUGGAUACAUGCCAGAGAACACUUGACUAAAUAUCACCUUUAUUGCCAGGAGAUAAACCCACACAAAACUUUUGGAUUGGGCAUGGACCAGACACACCAUCACCCGGUACCACACAAGAAUCCACAGCCUCUUGAUCGAACUUAGAUGCCGUGGACAGGGAGAACUUCCAUGACAUUUUCAAAUCUGCCCAGUCUGCACAGAAGACACAGAGACGGUCAUGCACACACUCAAGGCUGGCCCUCCCUAUGCCGAAUUCCACUCCCAACUGGGGCGCUGAAACACAUAUAAUCCUUGAAGACAACCUCAUCCCUCGCCAAUUACCUGAAACGCAUGGAGCUGUGAUGUCAAAUGCAUAUCACACCUGCAGUGGAGGCAACCAUAAUCAAAGACCUCGAAUGGCUGAGGAAAAGAAGACGGGUAGGCAGGGCUCGUGAGCAGGAGUAUAAUAACAAUGAGACACCAUUGACGUGGCAGUAUUACAUUUUACAAAACUAUCAAAAUAACAUAUAGAUAUUUAAGUAGAUAGAUAGAAAAUAAAAUCACUUAAGAGUGUACUUACACAAAGGUACUGUAAGACUUCAAUAAGAUGUCGCCAUGGCCAUAUCAUCUGAAGAUAGAACAAAUUAAGUUCCAUGGUUCUAUCAAAGCGAGAACUUACAUUUCCAUGAGAACUGUGGCUUGGAUUGUGAACGUGACCCAUAGUGGCUGCAUGAACAAAUCCAAGACGUCCAUCGCAUAUUAUAGAUAUCUGACGAAAAGCGUCCGUAAAUCAAAGAAGCUGCGCAUUGAUGACCACGCGAUCAAUUGAUCUUCUCGAGCAGCAAGGCUACCAUGCCGAUCUCCAGCUCUGCCUCCAGCUCGUCAAAUCUUGCAGUCACUCCAGGGAUCUCUCGCAAGCAAAGAAGCUCCACUCCCAGAUCCUUGGAACCAAACACUCGCGCAAUCGGCACCUGGAGAACCUCCUCAUCGAGAUGUAUGGAAAAUGCGGGAGCCUGGAGCGCGCGCGCGCUGUUCUUGAUGAUCUGGAGGAGCCAAACAUCUUCUCCUGGAAUAUUUUGCUCACGGCCUACAUCGAGCGCGGGCAUCUGGAACAAGCCAAGGAGAUCUUCGCCAGCGAGAUGCCACAGCACAACACCGUCUCCUGGACCGCGAUGCUCACCGCGCAUUCCCAGAGCGGGAAUUUCCAAGAUUCCUGGGGCCUGUUCCAAUCGAUGCCCCGGCGCAACACCAUCGCCUGGAACGCGAUGAUCGCUGCCUGCGGCCACCACGGCCGCGUCGCCCUAGCCCGAUUGCUCUUCGACGCCACGCCCGGGAAGAAUAUCGCGUCCUGGAAUGCGAUGCUAACGGCAUAUUCCCAGAACGGGCACAUUCCCGACGCGAGAAGGAUCUUCGACUCCGUGCCGUACAGAAGUACGGUCACCUGGAACGCAAUGUUGACGGCAUAUGCGGAUGCCGGGCACGUGGCGGGCGCAGGGGCGGUGUUCGUUGCGAUGCCCGAUCGCGACCACGUGUCUUGGAACACGAUGAUCCAGGCGUCCGUUAUGGCGGGAGAAUUUGAGCUAGCGAAAGAGCUCUUCGCGGCAAUGCCAGAGAAGGAUUUGAUCGCGCAGACCACCAUGAUCGUCGUGUGUUCCCAGAUUGGGGAUCUUGGCCAAGCGAAGCGUGUGUUUGAUGCGAUGGAGCGGCGAGAUAUCGUCGCCUGGAAUGCAAUGCUUCAAUCGUUUGCCAGUGCCGGGGAUUUCGAUCGAGCCAUGGAGCUCUUUGAGAGAAUGCCCGAGAGAGAUGUGGUGUCGUGGACGGCAAUGCUAGUGGCGUAUGCCGAGAAAGGGCUCCUGGAUCACGCAAGAGCUCUCUUCGAUUCAAUGCCUCACAGGAGUCUCGUCGCCUGGAAUGCCCUGCUAGCUGCGUAUUCCAGAUCUGGGCAUUUGGAGGAGGCCGAGAGAUUCUUCCAUCAAAUGCCUUCAUGCAAUGUGAUCUCUUGAACCACACUCUUUCAAGCAUAUGCCCUAAAUGGGCAUCUGGACAUGGCGGCUUUAAUCUUCGACUCUAUGCCCGAAAGGAACACCGUGUCUUGGUCCGUGCUGAUCCAAGCAUACGCAAGGCACUCGCGUUUGGAUCUAAUCGAGCGCGCGUUUUGGCGGCUGGAAGAUCAAACAGUGGUAGCCUGGUCAUCGAUCAUUCAGGCAUUUGCCCAGAAGGGGCAUGGCCAGCAAGCGCUAAAUCUCUUCCGGCUCAUGGAGCUAGACGGUGGAGCCUCGCCCGACGAGAUCACAUUUGUAGGAAUCCUCACGGCUUGUGGCCAUCUGGGCGAUCUCAAGGAAGCGUUGCGGCAAUUCUAUUCCGUCACCACAGACAGGAAAAAUCUCGCGAUCACCGCCGAGCACUACGGCUGCUUGAUCGACAUUCUUGCUCGUCUUGGGCAUCUGGGCCCGAUUUGUUUGAGAGCAUGCCCUUCGUCCCGGACCGUGCCGCUCGGAUCUCUUUGAUCUCCGCUUGCAAACUCCACAAGGAUUCUCGGCGAGCAGUCAAAACCACCGAGCGAGCGAUCAAACAGGAUCCAGGACACGCUUCUUCAUAUGUGCUGCUCUCAAACACCUACACCCAGUAGAUCAUGAAGUUCUCCGUUAGAAAAGCUUUUGAUCGAUGUGACAAACCAAAGUACCUAUUGGUAGAGCUGGAAAUCUCUCAGCUGGAGCUUCCACCUGCCAUCGCCAGUCGAGUGUGCUUGAAGAACAUCCGCGCCAACCGAGGGCAUUCCAUCGAAAUCUACGUGAAGAAGUAACACGAGCUCUUGCUUCGAUGGCAUGUAUGGUUCUUCCCCGCCAGCAUCGAAUUCAUCUUCUUCGCUGGUUUUCUGGACGGAUCUCGCGGUGAUGCUGUCUUUGAUCAGCCUCUCGGAUGUCAAGCUCAAAACUCUCGUUCUGUCCAUUCCUCUCAGCACGAUCAUCAAGUCCUUGCGACGAACAAGCGGGAGAUCUUCGGUGGUCUGCAAGAAAGCAUUGAAUAUCGAAACGAUGGAAUGGAAUUUCUCACACAAACCUGAGAAGAGGAGCUGGAAGAACUCGAGUUCUCACUUCCUGACGAAGUUGGCAGUGUCGGUUGCUCGUCACUAGGAGAGAGCUUCUGAUCAAGGAUAACCUUUCCUUCUUCUCCUUCUUCCUCUUCACUGGGAGCGAGCUUUGGAUCAAUGAUAAACUUGCGAGGGACAUACUCGACGCUCCAGCUCUCGGAUUUGUAGAACGACGGCUUCUUCUUCUUGGAUCUGUCCAGAGGCCUCGAUCGGCCCAUGAAGCCGGUUCCAGCGCCCUUGGAGACGGCCUUGGCGAUCUCCCGGACGAAGACGCAUCCUCGCCCGUGCUCGCUCAACCCCCUCUCCGCCACCGAUAUCAAUGCCGCCGCGCGCUCCGGAUCCUCGCAGCACUUCUCAAACACAUCGUCCCAGAUGAGCAUUCCAUCCUCGAAAUCCCUCUGCCUGCCCGAGGAGGAGGAGAACGAGGACGAUGGCGGCGAGCGCUUCUUCUUCUCUUUCUUCUCCGUGGGAGAUUUAGCCUGCGCUCUCACUGCGAUGGAGGAGCCUGUCCAUCCUGGGGCGAGAUUGGCGCGAGGUAGAGGAGAGAAUGCCGCUGCCAUCGCCAAAGACGCCAUUUCUAUCCAGUAAAACCCCAAGGAAGAGAGAAGACCCGAUUCUAGAUCUCUAAGAUGCCCGUGGAGGGCACAAUCUACCUGGAAGAAGCAAUAACCUCGAGGAUCUUGUCAGCGAAACCCUUGAAAUCCGGCAGAUUCAUGGCGGUGUCGAGAUCUUUCUCCGCAGUGGCCGACGCAUCGAUCUUGCUCACGAUCGCCUGGAGCUCCUCGUUCCUGAGCAUGGCGCGGAUCUCCUCCGACGCCGCCACCGCCUCGAGCUGCUGCCUCCGGAGCCUGGUUGCCAUCUGCGAUUCAUCCCCAUUCUCGAAAUCCCGCGGCGGCUGCACGAGCUGGGCUUGCUCCUCCUCCUCUGCCGCCGCUACCUUCGUGCAGGGCGCCGCCUUGUGAUCCUUGAAGCACUGCAGCGAGCAGUAGGGCACCAGGCAGCCCGGGCAUUUGUACUUGGAGACCGCGCCACUGCAAAUGCCGCACUGGCUCAUUGCCCUAGAUCCAAUAAGAAACAUAACCAUGUUUAUAAACUUUGUUAUAUACUAGCUUCGUGUGAAUGGUGCCCAGAAGUACGCAUGUAAAGAGUGCCUGGUUGAGUAGACGAUAACGAUUCCGAAACAUCUGCCAAUCUGAUGGAAAGGAUGCGUCUUCUUCCUCACUCUUGUUUGCUGUUCGUCUCCUUUCAGGGGCGAUCAGCCAAGGGGCGAGCGAACGGUGACAAUGGGCAGCGGCAGCAAUCAGCAACGAUCAGCCCAGGGGUAAAGGUAAAUUCCACACUUGCUGGUCACUCCACCGCCACCAUGGUUAGUGCUAAUGCAAAGGAGCAGGAGACCUCUCAUGCUAACUUUCGGAGGGUGUGUUUCAAUGCUUGUAGAUUUGACUUUGCUGGAGGACUGUGCUAGGUGCUUGUGGCAAGUGGAAAAAUGCAAGCAUUGGGCAGCUAGCGUUUGAGUCACUGCUAGAGCUUGGUGAUGAUCGAGACGUUGCAGCAGCCUAUUUAUUGAUGGUGAAAGCCCGAUGAAGAUAUAUUGUCACGCAAGGAUAUUUUCCGACUUUGUCACGCUGUUCUAGCAGCGCCGAUCUUAAAAUACAGUAUAAAAGAAGUGACAUUUCAACCAGGCUGAAAGAAGGCUCUCAUUUACUCUCAUCCUUUCAGAAGCAGAAGGCAGUAUGGCGCCUGGAUCUAGCACCAUGAGUGAAGAUGCUCAAGGCCACUUUGAUCUCAAGAGCAUGAUCUUCUCGCUGGUGACUCCUUUCAUGCUCAAGGCUGUGGUGCUGCUUGGCAUUCCCGAGAUGAUCUCCAAGGCAGGGCCGCUCUCCCUCAAGCAGAUCGUGUCACGUCUCUCAAAUCCCAAGAACUGUCAGCCGGAUCUCCUCGAGAGAAUCCUCCAGUUUCUGGUCCACAAGCGGGCACUGAGCGAGAAGAUCGAGAAAGAUGGAGAAACGUACUACGGCCUCACUCCAAUCUCAAAGUGGCUCGCGGAAGAGCACCAUCUCCUGCUCUUGUGCACGCACGAGUAUCCCAUGGCCGCGUUCCAAAAAGUGAACGAAGCGGUGCUGGAUGGAGGCCACGCUUACGAGAUGGUCAACAAAGUUCGUCUUUGGGAGCACGACCCCGGCCACGGCGACGAGUACGUGGAGCUGCUCAACAAGGCUACGCUCGCAUGGAGCACCGUCACUAUCUCCCUCGUCCUCGAGCACUACGAUGGAUUCAAAGACGUGAAGAAGCUCGUGGAUGUUGGCGGUGGCCUUGGAAUGUGCAUGGGCAAGAUCGUGGAGAAAUAUCCCCACAUCGAAGGUGUCAACUUUGAUCUCCCUCACACCGUUUCGAGCGCUCCAGCCUUUCCCGGUAAGAUUCAAGACACGUUUUCUUUUGAUUUCUUCAUGUUUUUUCUUAACAGGUGUUGCUCAUGUGGGAGGCAACAUGUUUGAGAGUGUACCAAGUGCUGAUGCUCUUCUUAUCAAGGUACUCUGUCUUCUUUUCCUUGACGUUAUGAUCUUCGUGGUGUUUCUUCAGUCUGUAAUCAUCAAUUUUAGCGACGAGGAUUGCCUCAGGAUGCUGGCGAAUUGCUACAAAGCUCUGCCACGAGGAGGCAAACUGAUAGUGAUCGAGCUCAUAUACUCCAAGGAGAGACCAUUCGAGAUGGAUCUGGACAUGAUUAUGAUCGGCUUCACAGACGGUGGCAAGACCAGGCGAUUUGAAGAACACAAAGCGCUGCUCGAGAACAGUGGCUUUGGCAACGUUUCCCUCGUGUCCGUUCCUUCCAAGGAGCAAGUUAUAGAAGCUUACAAGCUCUAAACAAAGUGAAUAAGAUGUUUGUGCUAGUUGUAUUUUAGAGUUUAUUGUCACCGUUGACAAUAUAGACUCGAGCAUCAUCGAUAAAAAUAAAAGAGUUCCAGGCUUGGAUCAUAUUCUUCCUGGAGAUUUUACCGCUUCAACUUUGGCAAUGGGAUAGGUAACUAAAACAUGAGUCAUGUCCAGAACUGGGGGUUGGUCUUUGACUCUACGUCCAGAGAAGACAUGGUAAACUGGAACGCUCUAUAUAGCAUAUUCACAAAGUUUUCAGCCUCUUUCAUACUUUCGUCUCAGUUUUACCGGUGUUGGGCAGCUAGCAUUCAAGUCACUGCUGGAGAUUGAUGAUGAUCUAGAUGUUGCAACAGUGAUGGUGAAAGCCCGUAUCUUGACUUUGUCAUGCAAGGAUAUUUUCUGACUUUGUCUGGCAGCAUGGAUCUUAAAAUACAGUAGACAAGGAAGUGACAUUUCAACCAGGCUUAAAGAAGGCUCUCAUAUAGUCUCGUCCUUUUAGAAACAGUAGGCAGUAUGGUGCCUGGAUCUAGCUGUCAGAACAGAUCACUAUGUUACUAGAGCAUGGUGGCAUGAUUCUAGGAACCCCUUAUGUAUAUCAAGAUGUGAGACUUUGAAGGUGUAAUACAAAUCUUGUACGAGAGGAAUGAAUGUUCUUUUUGUUUUAGGGUUUCCUUUGGCAUGAGAAGCAAGAUCAUGAAAACAAGUGGCAGAAGAUUGGGUCAUGGGUAGGGUAAGCCCAUCUUUGCCCAAGCGAGGUGUUAGCCCAACAAGUUGUGAACUAGCUUAAUGAGACUUACAUCAGCAUCGUCUAACCAAAGCUUGCCACAUGUACUAAGUUUAGAGCUUGCAGUCUCAAAGUGCAUUCGAUCCAGCACCAUAGCUUGGAUUUCCUGCAGCUCAUGGCACAACAUUUCCAUAGCUAUAUCAAAUUUCUUACUUGGUCUAGGGUUUUUGAACUCCUCUCCUCUCUAGGUUUAUCUAGAACUGACACUCAUUUUUUUUAAUUUCUUUUCUUAGCUCAGCUUAGAAACAGUCUUCGUUGAACUUUUUGAAAAUUGGAUGGAUCCCUUCUCAUUGUAUUGCUGCCACUGCUUGAAUUCCUUCAUUGCCGGAGAUGGGAUGAAAUGCAAGUGUAUAGUGGGUAAAAGAGGGGCCAAAUAUUAGUAUUAUUUAAAUAAACCUAAAGGAUGCCAUAACUUUCUUGAGAGCUUGACUUUUUUAAUUACACCCCUUAAUAUCAAAUUUAAUAUGUGAUGUGAUUCCCCUAGCCAAUCAACAGAAUUGGGCUUAAAAACUUUUGAUUAAAUUGCCAAAUGUCAAAUUUAAUAUAUAGUGUGAUUCCCUUAACCAACUAACAAAGUCAGACCUAAAAGGCUUGUUUUUUUUAUUGAAUUGUUAAAUGUCAAUUUCAAUAUAUAGUAAGAUUUCCCUAGCCAAAUGUUAAUCUCAACAUAUAACAUGAUUUUUUUUACUAAAGACCCCUUUGACACUAAAUAGAAACUUUAAUUGAUUGAAAAAGAGGGAGUUAUUCUUUUUAAUUAUUUACAUUAGCUUAACAAAUGAGUCAUUACCUAUCAAAGAAAGAAAGAGGUAAGUAGAUAAAUCAAACACAAAUAGAUAUUAGAAUGAUUAGAAUGGGAAAAUGGUUGAGCUUUGAGGAUAUUAGAUUUUAAGUUUUUGUUAUAGCAUAAUAAUGUAUUCAAGUGGCUUUUAAUUAUGGAGGUAAAACUCAACAAAAAUAUAUUUUUUAGGAAUUUUUUUAGAAGAGAUCAAUCACUAGCAGUGAUAUCUUUAAAGGAUGUAGUAAAAAUGCAAAACCAAUUGUAUCAAAAAUAAUAUAAAGAUUUUGAGUAAAAGAAUAUUAUUGCAAAGUCAAUUCUCAUUUAGAGAGUGCACUAAAAAACUAUUCUCAAGGUGAAGAAAUAUCUUAAUUCAUUAGAAGUAAAACACUCUUCAACAAUUUUAUUACAAAUAAUAAUAAAUGAUAGAUAUAACUAUUUUUUUUUAUAAAUGGUGAAUUGUAAGUAAAGAUAUCAAGAGAAAGCUUAAGAUUAUAUUAAGAAAUGACUCUUCGCAGUGAUAAACUUUAAAGUAUAAAAUUGGAUUUUUCAAGUGCUAUUAGAGUUUUAUUAAUUUUUUUAUUGAAUGAAAAGUUUUAAAUGGCCAAGUUGAAGCUUCAAGAAACUCAAACAUGACAAAGUUUUGACCAAGUCAUUACCAACAUUUAUCAUUAUGCAAGCUUAAGUGGUAUUUUUGAAGUUAAAAAUAAACAUAAAGAUAAUAAUGACUAAUAAAAGGAAGAGAGAUAUGGCUUUAGUUGUGAGAAUGUCAGAGCACUUCUCCAAUAAUAUCUAGAAGCCAACUUAGAUUUUGACACUUCUCAAUCUCAGCAUAAUCUGUAUGAAAACUAGAUAAGUCCUCAAAGUUUAAAGUACUUUCCAAAAAAUCAUCAUGUUCAUUAUAGUGUAUUAUUAUAAAAGUGACAACUAAUCCUUUACAUUUAUAAUUGCUUUGUGAAUUUAGAAAAUUGGCUGUAACAUAUCCAAAUCUAUAACAUUCAUUACAACAUAUUUCAUAUGAGACUGCUCCACCGAAUUCUUAGAUGUUUUUGAAUUAUAUGAAGCUACACACCAUAUAACAUUGGACAAAACUCUCUUUUAUCAAAGCAAAUAUAAGAAGUUUUCAAUGUCUACAAAUACUAAAAGUGGUGAGGAUUUAUGAUUAAUUGCUUUUGGUACAAUCUAUUUUCCCAUUUUCAAUCUUAAGAUUACUAAUGUUUUGUAUAUCCCUAAGCUUGUUUGUCAUCUUUUAUAUAUCUCUAAGCUUUUAAAACAAGGAAUCUAUAUGGUUUUCCAUAGGACAAGAGCAAAUUUCAAUUUCAAUAAAACUCAAAUAACUUAGGCUACAUAUAUAAAUGGACUUUAUUAUGUUUCUUUAGAUACUUUGGCAGCUCAUACUAUUUCAAUAUUUAAUGAUUCUGUAUUAUAAUUAUGGCACUAUGGAUUAACAUAUGCAAGUUUUUGUCGUGUUACAAACACUAGCACUGUUAAAUGGUAUACCAUAACUGGAAAGACCAAGUCUAGAAGAUUGCAAUGCAUAUUUUCAAGCAAAAAUGAAGAAGCCAUAACCCAAAAAGGUAAGACUCAAGGUACUUUUUUAUUAGCAUUAGUUCAUAUAGAUAUCUAGGGUUUAUCUGAUUUUAAAUGAGACUAAAUAUUUCUUACUAAUUGUGGAUGACUUCAGUCAUCACACUUUUGUUUACUUCCUAAAAUAAACUCCUCUCAAAUUUUACAAUUCCAUUCAAAUAGUCUCUGAAUUCUUCAUAUUGAUGGAGGCCAAAAACUACUUUUUACAAAGGUCCAAACCAUCCUUGCAAAUAUCCACACUAUACGAUCACAAAUAAAAUGGAGUUGUAGAGAGAGAUGCUCACUAUUUUGGAUGUUUCUCACAAAGCAUAUGUUUCAUAUAAGCAGAGGCAGUCAAUACUGCAGUAUAUUCAGAAUGUACUACCCCUUCUGAAUUAUGGACAGGUAUGAAACCAUCUUUUACUUACGUGCUUUUUGCUGUAUAGGAUACUCCCAUACCUUUGAUGAACAAAGACAAAACAAGUGGGAAGAUAGGACUAUUAUAUACAUGAUGCUAGGCUAUAGCAAGACCACAAAAGAAGGAUAUCAAGUGUGGUUUUUAGCCAGAAGAAAUUCCUAGUUUGGAGGACUCGUCUCUUUAGAGAAAUGAUCCCUACAUACUCAACUUCUACUUCAAUUGGAAGUUCUAAUACUUAGGUAUUUAUCAGACUUCAAUCUAACUGUGUCUUGGCAGCUUGAGGAACAACGAUGUCACUCCCUCCAUAACCACCUCCACUGAUAAAAACAACUGCCAGCAGAUUUUCCUCAACUUAUAGUGAUUUAACUAUAGGUACUCUUAUGUUGAAAGUUCUAUAGAAGAACAAGACGUUGAACAAACUAUUCAAAUAGAGCUUGAACGAGAAUGGAUUCCUAGCAUCACUCAACCAGAACCUAGAAGCCAACAAGAAAUAUUCUACAAUAUCAUGCUUAGGUUGCUCAAGUUAUCCAAGAACCUCUAACUUUACAGGAAGUACUUGGAGGACCACAAAGAUUUCACUGAAAGGCUGCUAUGCAAAGUGAGUAUAACGCUCAGCUUGAGAAUGAUACAUGGAGCCUUGUUCCUAGGGAGUCUAUACCUACAGGCACAUCGAUUAUAAAGUGUAAGUGGAUCCACAACCUCAAAUACAAGGAGUCAAACGAGAUCGAACACUAAAAGGCAUGGUUAGUAGCAAAAGGAUGCAGCCCGUUCUUGGAAUAUGCCGUUAGCAUCGCAUUCCAGGACGAAGAGCAAUCGCGAUCAUCGCGUUUCAGGCGAUGGUGUUGUUCCGUCGAUUGGAACAGGCUCCAGAAUUCUUGGAAACUCCCGCUCUGGGAAUGCGCGGUGAGCAGUGCAGUCCAGGAGACGGUGUUGUGCCGUGCCAUCUCGCUGGAAGAUCUCUUUGGCUUGUUCCAGAUGCCCGCUCUGCCAGGAGAAGGUGUUUGGCUCCUCCAGAUCGUCAAGAACAGCGCGCGCGCGCGCUCCAGACUCCCGCAUUUUCCAUACAUCUCGAUGCUCUCCAGGUGCCGAUUGCGGGAGUGCUUGGUUGCAAGGAUCUGGGAGUGGAGCUUCUUUUCUUGGGAGAGAUCUCUGGAGUGACCGCAAGAUUUGACGAGCUGCAGGCAGAGCUGGAGAUCGGCAUGGUAGCCUUGCUGCUCGAGAAGAUCGAUUGGAGCACAAAUACCUUCUUCUCGCAUAUUCACGUUUUAGGUCUCCAUUUGAUAUUGCGAUGCGCAGGUUGCGUUCUCUACUCGCGUUGAGAAGGGGUGAGUGGUUCCUUGUCUUGAGCGCUUUUACUCUUGACGAUUGGAUCAAACGUUGUGUGUAGGCUUUUGCUCCUCCAGCGGUAGUGGUGAUUACAUUCUUAGCUGCGUCAGCUCGAGUGAAGAGGUAUGCAGUACCAUUGAUUGAAUGAAGAACACACUAACGAGGAUUUUAGAUCGAGAUUCAUAGUGUCAAAGCCGAUGCUCUCGUUCGGCAAGCUCAGAGAACGCUUCAAACUUCUCGAAUGGUAUGUCGAGCCUGCUCAUUUCUCGGAUUGGUUAUUGUUUUUUCUCCUUUAGUCGUCGAUUGUUCUUGGUAAUGCGAUGAUGGGAUCGGUUCUUUUCAGCUCGAUUUUUCCCGAGGCGAAUGCUAUCACGGUGCGAUGCGUUUUGCCUUUCUCUAUCAUUAUUUGCAAGUGAGUUGAUGAUGUUUUUCGUCAGAUAUCAACUGUAUGCGAUGGACGUCUUGGAUUUGUUCAUGCGGCCACUACAUUUGAUGGUUUCACGACGGGUCACGUCCACAAUCCAAGCCACAGUUCUCAUGGAAACGUAAGUCCCCGCUUUAAUAAAACUAUGGAACUUAAUUUGGCAUAUCUUCAGAUGAUCAUGGCCACGGUAGUCAGAGAGUGUGACAUGCGCCUGUCUAUAAGCCUAUCGAAGUCUCACAGAACAUUUGUGUAAGUACGCUCCAUCUAGCAAGUGAUUUUCGUUUCUAUUCUUCUGUUCUUUUCUCAUUUUGUAGGUCCCCGAUGGGACCAUCUCGUGAAGUUGCAGAGAGCUUAGCAUAUUUUCUUUGGAAAAACCAGAAGGUAAUAUUGAUUGGUCGCUCUGUUUUCUUCACGCAUUGUCUUUCAUCCUUGCAGAUGGAUACAGCAGCUAGCUUAGCUAUGAAAUUUGACGAACACAACAUUGUAAAGACUGCCCGAGGUUUCAUUAUUCAGGUAACCUGAUUAUUUUCCAUGUUUUGGUAUAGAUAAACUCUUGUGUUUGACCGCAGGUGUAUCCUCUGUCUGAAAAAUUCGCCUGCCAUCAGCUGCGCGAGAACAUUGAAAACUCUCCUUCACUUGCUGAUCUGGACGAUACGGACGCAAGAGACAUUAUUGAGAAGCUUCUGCAUGGGAUUGAACCUGGCAGUUUUUCACAGCGUGAUCUCAAAUUCCAACCUGUUGGUGAAGAGGAGCAGCAGAGGUUUCUGGGGCAGCGAGAAAAGCUGUUUUCUUCAAACCAGGCAAGAACCUAUGAGAAAAUGAUUAACAAUCCUACAUCGCAGGACUUUGAAGAAACAAAGCUCCCACCUCAGCAUCCGUCCGACCUCUAUAAGCUUGCCAAUGGCGCGUUUACAAGCAAGAUUGGAACGACUCGGAGGGGACCUCGCAGACCAGAAAUAAGGAUGCCGCGCAUGGUACACACACCUUCCCGUGAGCGUUCUUUCAAGGUAUUCACUUUCUGAACUAGUUGACAGGGGAAAAACGAAUGGCGCUGUUGUCAUGUAAAAUUGCUAAGCUAUCUUUGCGUCGUGCAGCGACAUGGUGGGAUCAAUGAGCAGGAAAUGACGGAGAAUGGUUUCGAACAAAGGAAAAGGUGAUUUUUCAUUCAUUCGUAUAAGCUUUUACUUUUGGUGGAGCAAGGUGGUGAACGAAACGGGUACUGCUGGAUGGUAUCAGCCAGGGAGAGGACGACACGGCUGUCCAUGGGCUACACCAGUGGGACGACCACGAAAUCAUAUGUGUGGUUCCUCACACUCAAAAGGAUUCGAGUAUGGAAUGUUGUGGCUGUUGUUGGAAGGAGCAACGUAAGGCUCGAGAAUGCGGGUCCUGUGAAAACCAGGUCAACAUAGAUCAUAGAAGAACGUCAGAGGUGCCAUCUCGUCAAAGCUUUGGAUGUCAAUUGUGGGAGGCGAGUCGGUGCUGCCCAAGGGGAUAAAGUUGCCACUCGCCACGGUGGUAGAGCCGUAUUGGAUGGGCGAUUCAUCCUUGAUACAGCAACUUCCAAUGCCAUCUUUCUCACUCCAGUGUUCUUGUGUUGCUUGUAACACUCUUAAACGCAGUAAAAUUGACGGGAGACAAUUGUAGUAGUUAAAUAUUUUGGUUUAUAACCUUUAGUAUGAAUUUAGAGAAUCUUUUAAGUCUAUUUUCCGUGCAGGUAGGUAAGACCUCGACUGAAGUUUCGACUUCCGAGUGCCAGCAAUUUGUAAACCGCGUGACUUUUUCACCAUGGAAAAGGGGGUUGCACUCCACCUGGAAAGGGAGUGUUAAAAUCAUAACUUGCAACUUGUAAAAUAUGCUUGAACUUUGGCUAAAACUGCGUCUCCCCGACGUCUAAUUGCAGUAUUUCUGACUCUUUAUGGAGGGCCCUGCGCAUCUCGUUUCUGCAUCUUUGUUUUUGAAUAAGAGCCCAGAACAACAAAGAGCAGAUUAUAAGGGCUAUAGUUGCAGUAACACUGCAUAUGCAAUGGCAAGCUAGGAACUCAUUCCAUGGGAUGGUUUGGAAAUUGGAACUUGAGAAAGGCAGCAUGGGAAAAAAAAGAGAGCAUUCGAGGCCUCAAGAGCAUUAUUUAUGUAAUCUUAUAUGGAACAUCUUGUUGCACCGUUCAAGGUUUAGACGGGGUCCCUUUAGGAGGUAAAUAAUUGUCCCCCACGCAGAUGAUUUUACCAUUACGAAUGAGAGCGCAUCUACCACCACUGUACUGCUGCCUGAUGGUGCAGCAAUUCUGACAGUGUUCCGGGAAUAUUACAUCGCCGCAUUGGAGGAUAGAGUCGGCAAGGCAUUCCUUCGUGCAAGCUGCAUGAAACACGUUUAGCGAACCCCCAUGAAAUGGAGACUCGACUCAGAUGAAUAAAGAUCGCUGGAUUCAGCAUUUUGCUUCCUUACCUUGAGCUUCUGUUUUUCCCAGCAGCACCAGCAGAGCUGCGAGCAGUAAGCAGAGCGAAAAUAAGUGAGACCUCAUUGUGGGCGACGAGGAGUAAGAAGCGAUGCUUGAAUGCUUGCUUUCGUGGGGAUUUUAUAGUCAGCUGGAUUUUCUGCUGGAUAGAAAGUUCCUGGCCUGUGCUUCUCUAGUGAUGUGUUUGUAUCUUUGCGCUCCUGGUUUAGCAUGCCGUACACGGAAAGCGCAUCGACGAAAGGUGAGCGAUGAUUUUUUAUCCUGAUUAUCGUGUGCUUAUCCUGAUUUUCGUGUGCUCGGUGUUCUUGGUAGCCCAGUCAAGAAAGUACCAGAGUUGAAUAUGAGAUGAAGCUACAGAACGUCAAAGAAACACGUGGAAAGAACGCAUGAAAAUUCGAUGGUUAGGCUUUUGGAGGAGGCAUAAAAAGUCUCUCAAAACCUGCAACUUGAGGAGAUUUUACAAAUUUUCCUGUCAAGGACGUAGUAUCCUCGACCCCCAUAGCUGCAGCCUUUAGGAGCACUGUUUCCUGGAACGCUAUGCUUCACGGCUAUUCUGGCGACUCAUUGUUAUUAAGACAAGUUAUUCUUUUAAAACCAGGCCAGAACCUGUCCAACCCAAUGGAGCAUUUACAAGCAAGAUUGGAACAACUGCCAAGGGUCACUGUAGACCAGAAAUAAGGAUGCUGCGCGGGUACACAUGCCUUCAUCAAAGUCACGAGAAGGCAUCCUUUCAAGGUAUUCUCUUGGUAUUAAUCAUAGCCAAUUGUGAAAGGUGUUCUGCUAUCCAGCUUAGCGGCUCAAAAUGCUAUACAUGGUAUCCACAGGGAACAACCUCACUGAAGAAGCUAGAGCAGCAUUUCUGGAGGAAUUUAAAAGAGCAGUGUAUGCAACGUGGUUGGCUUGGAAUGGCAUCGUGUGGAGCAGCUCUUGGGCCUCUGGUAUCUUGCCGGCCCGGCCAAGGAUGUCGAUCAUACAGCAGUAGUGAUCAAUUGUCUCAGCGAUGGAGUGAUUGAAGCUCAUGGAGAAGAAGUGGUGGAUUGCCAGAGCGAGCAAGCCAAUGUGGUUACAGGCGAUCAAGGUGGCGAUGAGAGUGGUGGCAUCGGGCUCUACUCCUUCACACGCCAUCCUCUUGUAAAGAUCCAAGGUUUCUACGGCGUGGGCGUUCUUGGCAUAGCCAUGAAGCAUCGCGUUCCAGGAAACAGUGUUCCUCUCCGGCAUUGUCUCAAAGAUCUUGCGUGAUCGAUCAAGACGUUGCUGCUAUGGCCUUGAGAGGGAUCGCUCCUCAAUUUCCCCAUCUUGGGCAUGUGCUACAAGAACAAGUUCCAGGCCAGUGGUUUUUCUGAGGGAAAGGUUUCGAGAAGAUUUUGUGCUUCCUCCAAACCAGGCAAGAACCUAUGAGAAAAUGAUUAACAAUCCUACAUCGCAGGACUUUGAAGAAACAAAGCUCCCACCUCAGCAUCCGUCCGACCUCUAUAAGCUUGAGCAAGAUUGGAACGACUCGAAGGGGACCUCGCCGACCAGAAAUAAGGAUGCCGCGCAUGGUACACACACCUUCCCGUGAGCGUUCUUUCAAGGUAUUCACUUUCUGAACUAGUUGACAGGGGAAAAACGAAUGGCGCUGUUGUCAUGUAAAAUUGCUAAGCUAUCUUUGCGUCGUGCAGCGACAUGGUGGGAUCAAUGAGCAGGAAAUGACGGAGAAUGGUUUCGAACAAAGGAAAAGGUGAUUUUUCAUUCAUUCGUAUAAGCUUUUACUUUUGGUGGAGCAAGGUGGUGAACGAAACGGGUACUGCUGGAUGGUAUCAGCCAGGGAGAGGACGACACGGCUGUCCAUGGGCUACACCAGUGGGACGACCACGAAAUCAUAUGUGUGGUUCCUCACACUCAAAAGGAUUCGAGUAUGGAAUGUUGUGGCUGUUGUUGGAAGGAGCAACGUAAGGCUCGAGAAUGCGGGUCCUGUGAAAACCAGGUCAACAUAGAUCAUAGAAGAACGUCAGAGGUGCCAUCUCGUCAAAGCUUUGGAUGUCAAUUGUGGGAGGCGAGUCGGUGCUGCCCAAGGGGAUAAAGUUGCCACUCGCCACGGUGGUAGAGCCGUAUUGGAUGGGCGAUUCAUCCUUGAUACAGCAACUUCCAAUGCCAUCUUUCUCACUCCAGUGUUCUUGUGUUGCUUGUAACACUCUUAAACGCAGUAAAAUUGACGGGAGACAUUUUGGUUUAUAACCUUUAGUAUGAAUUUAGAAUAUACAGCUUUGUGGCUUGAUCUUUUAAGUCUGUUUUCCGUGCAGGUAGGUAAGACCUCGACUGAAGUUUCGACUUCCGAGUGCCAGUGUACGCAAUUUGUAAACCGCGUGACUUUUUCACCAUGGAAAAGGGGGUUUACAAAUUGCACUCCACCUGGAAAUGGAGUGUUGGCUUUUAAAAUCAUAACUUGCAACUUGUAAAAUGAAACGCACAAAAUGCUUGAACUUUGGCUAAAGCGUCUCCCCGACGUCUAGUUGCAGUAUUCUGACUCUUUGGGAAGGGCCCUGCGCAUCUCGUUUCUGCAUCUUUGUUUUUGAAUAAGAGCCCAGAACUACAAAGAGCAGAUUAUAAGGGCUGUAGUUGCAGCAACACUGCAUGCAAUGGCGAGCUAGGAACUCAUUCCAUGGGAUGGUUUGGAAAUUGGAACUUGAGAAAGGCAGCAUGGGAAAAAAAAGAGAGCAUUCGAGGCCUCAAGAGCAUUAUUUAUGUAAUCUUAUAUGGAACAUCUUGUUGCACCGUUCAAGGUCUAGACGGGGUCCCUUUAGGAGGUAAAUAAUUGUCCCCCACGCAGAUGAUUUUUCCAUUACGAAUGAGAGCGCAUCUACCACCAUUGUACUGCCGCCUGAUGGUGCAGCAAUUCUGACAGUGUUGCGGGAAUAUUACAUCGCCGCAUCGGAGGAUAGAGUCGGCAAGGCAUUCCCUCGUGCAAGCUGCAGGAGCGAACCCCCAUGAAAUGGAGACUCGACUCAAAUGAAUAAACAGCAUUUUGCUUCCUUACCUUGAGCUUCUGUUUUUCCCAGCAGCACCAGCAGAGCUGCGAGCAGUAAGCAGAGCGAAAAUAAAUGAGACCUCAUUGUGGACGAUCAGAAUGCUUGCUUUCGCCCGCUUUUGUGGGUAUUUUAUAGUCAGCUGGUCCUGGAGAAAAACGUGCCUGUACGAAAGGUGAGCGAUGACUGUCAGGUGUCUCCUAUUGUGGGCUCUACUUGACUUUCGUGUGCUCGGUAUUACAGGCGAUUGGCAGCCCAGUCAAGAAAGUACCAGAGUUCAAUAUGGGAUGCAACUACGAAACUACUGAAAAGAACGGGUGAAACUUCGAUUGUCAUAGGCUUGUGGAAGGUCUUCUCAAAACCCGACUGGAAAUUCGCACUACUUGGCCAUCUACCAGGAGAUUCGGGCGGCUCAAGCACAAGAGAGUGUAGAGAGAGAGUAGGAGGUAGAGAUGAUCCUUCUUCUUCUUAGUGGUCUUAUGCUUCAAAAGCAUAAGACUCCAAAAGCAUGUAUUGAAAGCACAUGCCUAAAGUGGGCAACUUUGAGGAGACUUUACAAACUUUCCUGUCAAGGACGUAAUAUUCUGGACCACCAUACAGCAUUUUCCCGCAUCUUGAUCAAUCACGCAAGAUCUUUGAGGAAAUGAACACUGCAUCCUGGAACGCUGGCUAUUCCCGUUGUUGAGAGAAGUUUUUUGUUCAAAUCAGACCAGAACCUAUUAUAACAAGAAACAGAACUACCACUCAGCAUCCGUCCAACCUCAAUGCAACAUUUAUAAGCAAAGAGAAAUAAGGAUACUGCGCAGGUACAUAUGGCUUCAUCAAAGUCAUGAGGUAUUCUCUUAAAACAGAAGUAAAACUUAUAGCUGAAGCAUGGUAUAUAAAGCCAAUAAUGUGAAAGGUAGCAUUUUGGGCAGCUAAGUUGGACAACAGAACAUACAUGGUAUCCACAGGGGAUGACCUCAGUGAAGAAGCUAGAGCAGCAUUUCUGGAGGAGUUUAAAAGAGCAGUGUAGGCAACAUGGUUGGCUGUGGAGCAGCUCUUGGGCCUCUGGGAUCUUGCCGGGGCGACCAAGGAUGGAGCGAGCAAGCCUGGCGAUGAGAAUUGGCAUCGGGCACACGCCAUCCUCUUGUAAAGAUCCAAGGCUUCUACAGCAUGAGCGUUUUUGGCAUAGCCAUGAAGCAUUGCGUUCCAGGAAACAGUGUUCCUCUCCGGCAUUGUCUCAAAGAUCUUGCGUUCGAGACGCCCAAACUGCAAACAUGCUGCUGCCAUGGCCUUGACAGGGAUCGCGCUCCUCAAUUUGGCCAACUUGGGCAUGUGCUGCAUGAACAAGUUCCAGGCCAGUGGUUUCUCUGAGGGCAAGGUUUUGAGAAGAUUUUGUGCUUCUUCCAAGCUAUCGUUUAUAUCAUCAAAGCCCAAGACAUUCCAUUUUAUCUUGGAAUCGAAUAUUUCGCGCGCUGCCAUAGCACGCAAGCAUGGCGUUCCAGGUGACCACGUUUCGAUCCCUGGCCCCGUCAAAUACUUCCUUCUUUUAAAUGCCCGCCGCGAGACGAGGAUCAUCCAGGAGACGACGCUCCACGCCGGCAUUGCGUGGAACAAUCGCAAGGUUUCGUCCACCAGGCCUCGCUCGGCGUGCGCCUUGCAUGGCGCUGUUCCACGCCACGACGUCCAGUUCCGGUAUUCGAUCGAAGAAGAGCUCGAAGGUACGCUUGGAGCAUUGCGUUCCAGGAGAAGAUAUCGCGGCAAGGCAUGGCGCAAACAGGGAGUUCGCUUCUUGGAGCUAGCUGUGCUCGGCGUAGGCCUCGACCGCCAUGUUCCAAGAAACCAGGCCCCGCGUUGGAGCGCUGUCGAAGAGGUUCUUGGCAGUGUGGAGAUUUCCCGAUCUGGCAUGGCGGCGAUCAUGAUAUUCCAGGCGAUCACAUCCUUCCCGGGCAUAAUCUCAAACAAGAACAUUUCCUUGUCGAUCUCCCAGCUCCUCGCGUGCGUGACGAGCAUCGCGGUCCAUGAAACCACAUCUCUCCUCGGCAUUCUCUUGAAGAAAUGUCUCACCAUGGCCAGAUUUCCCUCCGCGGCAUACCUCUGUGCCAAGAUGUUCCAGGACACUUGAUCCUUCUCCGGCAUCGCGUCAAACAGUAAGGUCGCUUGAUCCAGGUCUCCACUCUGGUCUCCACUUUGCGUGUAAGCUGUGUUCUAGGCCACAACAUUCCGCUGUGGCAUCCGAUCGCACAUCCGCCGGCCCGCCUCCAAAUGCCUGGAUCUCGCUAGCGGUUCUACGAUCACGGUCUCGGCAAUCACGGCCUUGUAUGGCAUCCCAAGCGACUCCGCUUCCACGCAGGCCGCGAUCAUCAACGUCCACGACACAAUAUAACUACUACAACAGUCUCCUUUUUGGUCUCCCGUCACCUGUCUAUUUUACUGCCAUGCCAAAUUUCUCGUUUUGGUUUCCAGGUUCUUUGUGCAGGCGAAGUUCCGACUUCCAAGUGCCAGUGAGUGCUUCCAGGUUUUGGCCUUUAAAAUCCAUUAGUCCUUUAAAAACCUUUGGGCAGGAACUCAACUUGCAUCUUGUAAAAUGGAACGCAGAAACCACACAAAAUGCAUGAACUUUGGCUAAAAACUGCGUCUCCCCGACUACUGAGAAAACCUUCUAAUUGUAGUAUUCUUAGAGGGCCGUGUGCAGCUGUUUCUGCAUCUUUUGUUUUUGCAUAAGAGCCCACAACAACAAAGAGCCUGAUUAUAAGGACUGCAUUUGCAGCAACCCCUCAUGCAAUGGCGAGCUCUAGAAACUCAUUCCAUGAGAUGGUUUGGAAAUUGGAACUUGAGAAAGGCAGCAUGAGCAUUUCCUCAUGAAACCUUAUUAAAACAGCACCAAAGGAACAGGGUUAAAAAUUGACCACUAAUUACUUGAAUAAUAAUGCUUAUUAUUAUUAAUUAUUAAAAUUUUAUAAUUAUAAACAUAUUUAUAAUUUAUAAACACUGAUAUAGGAAUACAAGAAUGAAUGGACCAAAUUAAGUCUUAAAUGGACGACUUAUAACACAAAAUUAAUUUUAUUUAAAAUAAACUAGGAUAUACUAGGAAGUGUUAAGGAAAAAUUAUAAUUUAUAAAUAGAAGAUAAAUCUAAAUGAAUACCAAUUUGUUAGAUGGUAAAAUAUUCUAAAAUAUUCAAGCAUAUUCUAGAUAUAAAUUUUAUAACUAAAAACCUUUUUAUACAACUAAUCAUAUAUAUUUGUAUAUAUCUGUUAUAGGUGAAGCAGUUACAACUACUUCUAAUGCUCCAAGGUGUGUCCCAUUUUACUACUUACACUCAAGUUAAACUUUUGACCUAUUAAGAAAAAAUAGAAACAAACUACAAGUAAAAAAGAUUUUUAUUCUGGCUUAGUUAAUGCAUUAGAAGAAGAAAGCCAACAAUCAAUUCCUGAACAAGUUAAAUUGCUAAUCAGAAAAUGGAGAUUCAAUAAGGAUUGAUACAUCUUUGGGUUAGAGAUCCUACAGGUAAAAGUUUUAUAUUACAACUAGUUGAUUUAAGAUUUUGUAUUCAAUACAUUCAUAAAAUGUUUGUAGUCACAUGACUAAUAAUAAAAACUUGGCAGUCAAAAAGAAAUUCAAUUUUUAACCCUGCAUGAUGGUUGGAUAGAAAAUCCAAUCCAUUGCAAAUGUAUGUUAAGGCACCUAGUCUGCCUGCUACAAAUUGAUUGCAUAAAGUACGUAGCAAAGACGAACCUCCUCAAAGUCCACUCGGCAGUGUGGAAACUUUGAGCAUUCUUUUUAUUUACGUAACCUUAUGGAACAUCUUGUUGCACCGUUCAAGGUCUAGACGGGGAUGUUCCCCAAGGAGGUAAAUAAUUGUCCCCCACGCAGAAGAUUUCUCCAUUACGAAUGAGAGCGCAUCUACCACCUCUGUACUGCUGCCUGAUGGUGCAGCAAUUCUCACAGUGUUCCGGGAAUAGUACAUCGCCGCAUCGGAGGAUAGAGUCGGAAAGGCAUUCCUUCGUGCAAGCUGCAGGAAACACGUUUAGCGAACCCCCAUGAAAUGGAGACUCGACUCAGAUGAAUAAAGAUCGCUGGAUUCAGCAUUUUGCUUCCUUACCUUGAGCUUCUGUUUUUCCCAGCAGCACCAGCAGAGCUGCGAGCAGUAAGCAGAGCGAAAAUAAGUGAGACCUCAUUGUGGACGGCGAGGAGUAACAAGCGUUGCUUGAAUGCUUGCUUUCGUGGGGAGUUUAUAGUCAGCUGGAUUUUCUGCUGGAUAGAAAGUCCCUGGCCGGUGCUUCUCUAGUGACGUGUUUGUAUAUUUGCGCUCCGGGUUUAGCUUGCCGUACACGGAAAGCGCAUCGACGAAAGGUGAGCGAUGACUACGUCUUAUUUUGUGGGCUUAUCCUGAUUUUCGUGUACUCGGUGUUCUUGGUAGCCCAGUCAAGAAAGUACCAGAGUUGAAUAUGAGAUGAAGCUACAGGACGUCAAAGAAACACGUGGAAAGAACGCAAGAAAAUUCGAUGGUUAGGCUUUUGGAGGAGGCAUAAAAAGUCUCUCAAAACCUGCAACUUGAGGAGAUUUUCCAAUUUUUCCUGUCAAGGACGUAGUAUCCUCGACCCCCAUAGCUGCAGCAUUUAGGAGCACUGUUUCCUGGAACGCUAUGCUUCACGGCUAUUCUGGCGAUUCAUUGUUAUUGAGACAAGUUAUUUUUUUCAAACCACCUACUAUAACAAAAAACAGAACUAAUCUGUAACCAAUGGAGCAUUUACAAGCAAGAUUGGAACAACUGCCAAGGGUGUCAUUAUAGACCAGAAAUAAGGAUGCUGCACGGGUACUUGCCAUCAAAGUCACGAGAAGGCAUCCUUUCAAGGUAUUCUCUUAGCUGAAUGGGUAUUAACAAUAGCUGCCGCUAAGUUGGACAGCAGAACAUACAUGGUAUCCACAGGGAACAACCUCACUGAAGAAGCUAGAGCAGCAUUUAUAGAGGAAUUUAAAAGAGCAGUGGCCGGCCCGGCCAAGGAUGUCGAUCAUACAGCAGUAGUGAUCAAUUGUCUCGGCGAUGGAGUGAUCGAAGCUCAUGGAGGAGAAGUGGUGGAUUGCCAGAGCGAGCAAGCCAAUGUGGUUACAGGCGAUCAAGGUGGCGAUGAGAGUGGUGGCAUCGGGCUCUACUCCUUCACACGCCAUCCUCUUGUAAAGAUCCAAGGUUUCUACAGCGUGGGCGUUCUUGGCAUAGCCAUGAAGCAUUGCGUUCCAGGAAACAGUGUUCCUCUCCGGCAUUGUCUCAAAGAUCUUGCGUGAUCGAUCAAGACGUCCAAACUGCGAAAAUGCUGCUGCUAUGGCCUUGAGAGGGAUCGCUCCUCAAUUUCCCCAUCUUGGGCAUGUGCUGCAAGAACAAGUUCCAGGCCAGUGGUUUUUCCGAGGGCAAGGUUUCGAGAAGAUUUUGUGCUUCCUCCAAGCUAUCGUUUAUAUAUCAUGAAAGCCCAAGAUUCCAUUUCUCUCACACAUGGAAUCGAAUAUUUCACGCGCUGCCAUACAUGGCGUUCCAGGUGCACGUUUCGAUCCCUGACCCCGUCAAAUCCUUCCCUGGCCUCUGAAAUGCCCGCCACGCCCUAGCGCCGAGACGAGGAUCGUCCAGGAGAAGAGGUUCCACGCCAGGCCUCGCUCGGCGUGCGCUUGGACGUCCCGACUUCCAAGUGCCAGUGGUGCUUCCAGGUUUUGGUAUAAAAUCUUUCGGCCUAAAAAUUGACCACUAAUUACUUUUUAUAGUCAAAUACUAUUAUUAUUAAUCCAAUCAACUGGAAGUUUAUAAUCAUAAAUAUAUUUAUAAUUUUAUAAACACAAAUUUAAUCUUGUUAAAUAACUUUAUCCGUCCACUCCCAAAAUGUAAGAAACUUGCUGUGUGUUGCAUGCAGCAACACUUGUUUGCUUAAUAGUACCAAAAAUACUAGAAACCAAUUAUAAACAUGUUUAUAAUUAUAAAUAAAAUAUUAAUCUAGAUUGUAGAAUAUUUUAUCAAAUAUAUUCUAGAUAUAUCCACUAAAUUGUAAAACUAAACAUACAACUAAAGUAUAUACCUGUUAUAGGUGAAACAAAUACAUGUGUAGUCUAAACUUUUGAUGUAUUAGGAAGAAAUAGAAACAAACCACAAGUAAAAAAAGUCAAAAUAAAUUUUAUUUUGGCUUGGCUACUGCAUUACAAGCUAUUUCACUAGCAGAAGAAGAAAGUCAGCAAUUGAUGCCUGAGGAAGUUAAAUUAUUAAUCAGAAAACGGACAUCUAAUAAGGAUAUUGAUACAUUUUUGUGCUCAACUUGUGAAAGAUCCUACAGGUAAAAGUUUUAUAUUACAACUAGUUGAUUUUAAAUUUUAUAUUCAAAUUUACAUUCAUAAAACAUUUGUAGUCACAUCACUAAUAAAGUAAACUAGGCUACCUGUUACAAAUUGAUUGCCUAAAGUACGUAGUAAGACCAACCUCCUCAAAGUCCACUCGGCAGUGUGGAAACUUUGAGCAUUCUCUUUAUUUAUGUAAUCUUAUAAAACAUCUUGUUGCACCGUUCAAGGUCUAGGCGGGGUUGUUCCAAAAGGAGGUGAAUAAUUGUCCCCCACGCAGAUGAUUUCUCCAUUACGAAUUAGAGCGCAUCCACCACCAUUGUACCGCCUGAUGGUGCAGCAAUUCUGACAGGGUUCCAGGGAUACUACAUCGCCGCAUAGAAUGGUAGAGUUGAGAAGGCAUUCCUGCGUGCAAACUGCAGAGAAAUACAUUUACGUUUAGUGAAAUGGAGAACGACUCAAAUGAACAAAGAACAUUUUGCUUCCUUACUUUGAGCUUCUGUUUUUCCCAGCAUCACCAGCAGAGCUGCGAGCAGUAAGCAGAGCGAAAAUAGGUGAGACCUCAUUGUGGACGACGACGAUGCUUGAAUGCCUGCUUUCGCGGGGAUUUUAUACUCAGCUGGAUUUUCUGCUGGCCUGUGCUUCUCUAGUGACGUGUUUGUAUAUUUGCGCUCCGGGUUUAGCUUGCCGUACACGGAAAGCGCAUCGACCAAAGGUGAGCGAUGACUAUAAGGUUUCUCCGUCUUAUUUUGUGGGCUUAUCCUGAUUUUCGUGUACUCGGUGUUCUUGGUAGCCCAGUCAAGAAAGUACCAGAGUUGAAUAUGAGAUGAAGCUACAGGGCGUCAAAGAAACAAAACUACAUGGAAAGAACGCAUGAAAAUUCGAUUGUCAUAAGCUUUUGGAGGAGGCAUAAAACGUCUCUCAGAACCUGAGAACCAUUAGCCUGCAACUUGAGGAGAUUUCACAAAUCUUCCUGUCAAGGAGAGCCCAUAGCUGCAGUAUUUAGGAGGAACACUGUUUCCUGGAACGCUAUGCUUCACGGCUAUUCUGGCUAUUGAGAGAAGUUAUUUUUUUCAAACCAGGCCAGAACCUACCUAUAACCAGAAACAGAACUAAGCUGUCCAACCUCUUUUUACAAGCAAAAUUAAGGGUCCUUAUAGGCCAGAAAUAAGGAAGCCUUCAGAGAAGGCAUUCCUUCAAGAUAUUCUGAAUGGGUAAAUAACAAUAAUUGUCCUAUUAUCAAUAGUUAAUUGUGAAAAGUAGCAUUUUGAGCUGCUAAGUUGGACAGUAGAACAUACAUGGUAUCCACAGGGAACGACCUCACUGAAGAAGCUAGAGGAGCAUUUCUGGAGGAAUUUAAAAGAGCAGUGUAUGCAACGUGGUUGGCUUGGAAUGGCAUCGUGUGGAGCAGCUCUUGGGCCUCUAGUAUCUUGCCGGCCCGGCCAAGGAUGUCGAUCAUACAGCAGUAGUGAUCAAUUGUCUCAGCAAUGGAGUGAUCGAAGCUCAUGGAGGAGAAGUGGUGGAUUGCCAGAGCGAGCAAGCCAAUGUGGUUACAGGCGAUCAAGGUGGCGAUGAGAGUGGUGGCAUCGGGUUCAACUCCUUCACACGCCAUCCUCUUGUAAAGAUCCAAGGUCUCUACAGCAUGGGCGUUCUUGGCAUAGCCAUGAAGCAUUGCGUUCCAGGAAACAGUGUUCCUCUCCGGCAUUGUCUCAAAGAUCUUGCGUGAUCGAUCAAGAUGCCCAAACUGCGAAAAUGCUGCACCUAUGGCGGUCCAGGAUACUACGUCCUUGACAGGGAUCGCGUGGAAUGUCUGUAAAGUCUCCUCAAGCUGCCCAUUUUGGGCAUUUGCUGCAAGAACAAAGUUCCAGGCCAGUGGUUUCUCUGAUGGCGAGGUUUUGAGAAGAGUUUGCGCUUCCUCCACGCUAUUGUUUAUAAGACACGCUUCUAUCAUCAAAGCCCACGACAUUCCAUUUCUCUCGCCCAUGGAAUCGAAUAUUUCGCGCGCUCUGUCUAAAUUGCCCCUUUUCCCGCCAUAGCACGCAAGCAUGGCGUUCCAGGUGACCACGUUUCGAUCCCUGGCCCCGUCAAAUACUUCCCUGGCAUCUUUUAAAUGCCCGCCGCGCCCUAGCGCCGAGACGAGGAUCGUCCAGGAGACGACGCUCCACGCCGGCAUUGCGUGGAACAAUCGCAGGGUUUCGUCCACCAGGCCUCGCUCGGCGUGCGCUUGCAUCGCGCUGUUCCACGCCACGACGUCCAGCUCCGGGAUCCGAUCGAAGAAGCGCAUUCCCUCCUCCAGCCGGUCUGAUCGAAGGUACGCUUGGAGCAUUGCGUUCCAGGAGAAGAGAUCGCGGCAGGGCAUGGCGUCGAAAAGGGAUUUCGCUUCUUGGAGCUGGCCAUGCUCGGCAAAGGCCUCGAUCGCCGUGUUCCAAGAAACCAGGUCCCGCGUUGGAGCGCUGUCGAAGAGGUUUUUGGCAGUGUGGAGAUUUCCCGAUCUGGCAGUGGCGGCGAUCAUGAUGUUCCAGGCGAUCGCAUCCUUCCCGGGCAUAAUCUCGAACAAGAACAUCGCCUCGUCGAUCUCCCAGCUGCUGGCGUGCGCGACGAGCAUCGCGGUCCAAGAAACCACAUCUCUCCUCGGCAUUCUCUUGAAGAGAUCUCUCACCAUCGCCAGAUUUCCCUCCUCGGCAUACGCCUGCGCCAAGAUGUUCCAGGACACCUGAUCCUUCUCCGGCAUCGCGUCAAACAGUAAGCUCGCUCGAUCCAGGUCUCCACUCCGCGCGUAGGCUUCCAACAUCGUGUUCCAGGUCACGACAUCCCGCUGUGGCAUCCGAUCAAACAUCCGCCGGCUCGCCUCCAAAUGCCCGGAUUUCGCGAGCGCUUCCACGAUCACGGUCCCGGCAAUCACCGCCUUGUAUGGCAUCCGAGCCAGCAGCGACUCCGCCUCCUGGAUCAUGUCCACCCUCGCGUAGGCCGCAAUCAUCGACGUCCACGACACCUCCGUGCGCUGUGGCAUCCGAUCAAACACGCCCUGAGCAUCCUCAAUAUGCCCGUUUCGGGCAUACACCUCGAGCAGGAUGUUCCAGGAGAAAACGUUGGGCUCACGGAUGGAUUCAAACACCGCCACUGCCAGUUCCAAGUCACGGCACUUGCCAUACAUCUCCACCAGCAGGUUUCUCAGGUAGCGAUUGUGGCUCUGCACACUCUUGUCGACGAGCUUGUGGAUCCAUCGUCCCUGUGCCAGAGUUCUAGCAUCACGGAUCGACCGAGCCAGCUGGGUAACCAGAGCUUCAUCUCUAGAGGUAAGAAUUGUUACUAGCAUUCACAGUGGUGUGACAGUGGGACGAAGGUGGCAACAAGGAAAUUGGCAAAUUGGACCUUUUGCCUUUUGGGGUUGUGAAAAGGUUUUGGCUUAGGAAUGGCAACUUUGCAGGGGUCAGAAGAAUGGCAUUGGUUGAAAGGAAGUUUUGGAUACACUAAUGAUAUAGCAAGGAUGGAAACCGACAUUUCGAAAAAGUUCACUAUAAAAGAAAAAAAUGCAAUAAUAGAAACAAAGAAAGCUAGAUCUUGGGGUGGUUUGUGUUUAAUCCACUAGCUCUUUGCUAUGUCGGUGGACAGUAGGAAUGAAGUUCAUAUGGUGGUGCUUCCAUAUCCUGCACUAGGCCAUCUUCUUCCCUUGAUCCAUCUUGCAACAAAACUGGCUACAACAGGGAUCAUCGUCACACUGCUCAAUGUGAACAGCAUCCAUGAGAACCUCUCCCGGCAGUGGAGGUGCCCGGAUGGGAUGGAUAUCAGACUGGAGCAAGUGCAUUGUGACAUCUUCAUUCCUUAUGGCAUCGAUGCCAAGGCACUGAAAGACACGGACGGGCUGCUCGAGUCUCUGGAGAGGUUGCAAGCUCCAGUAGAGGAGCUGGUGAGGGAGAUGCAACCGCCUCCAUGCUGCAUCAUUUCCGACUAUUUCAUGCGCUGGGCGGUGGGAAUCACAAAGAAACUUGGCCUCAAAGUCGUCACGUUUUGGCCUGGAAAUGCUGCCUGGAGCUCCAUCCACCACCACACUCAAAUGCUCGUCUCCAGUGGGGACGCGUUCCAAGGUCAGCUACAAAACUAGAUUUUUUUUUUUCUUGCAUGAUUUUGAUCGAGCAAUCUAGGCCUCGACGAGAACAAGCUCAUUCGCUACGUCCCAGGUCUCGACGCUUUCAAGUGCCGCCACCUCCCGAGCUACUUCCGGAGGAAGCUGGUAGGAUUCAUUCUUGAAUUUUUUAGUGUCUCAGCAGACCGCAUGAAGGAUGCCGACUGGAUCCUGGUGAACUCCAUCUCGGAGCUGGAGACCCACGCCUUCGAUGCGAUGCAGGGAGCUCUGGCCAACAAGAACUUCGUGUCUGUGGGUCCGCUCUUCCCAUGCCACACCAGCCCGCGGGUGAGCCUCCGCGACGAGAAGAGCGAGUGCCUGGAAUGGCUCCACACCCAGGCCACAAGCUCUGUGCUCUACAUCUCGUUCGGGAGCUUGUGCCUGUUUCCCGAGCGCCAGAUCGUGGAGCUCGCGGCCGGGCUGGAGGCGAGCAAGCAGCCGUUCCUCUGGGCGGACGUCCGGCACGAGUUCGUCAGCAGCGAAGCUCUCCGGGGCUUCGCCGAGCGAUCGAGGCCGAGGGGGAUGGUGGUCUCCUGGGCGCCGCAGCUCCAGGUCCUGGCACACCACUCCAUCGCCGGAUUCCUCUCCCACUGCGGCUGGAACUCGGUCCUGGAGAGCAUCUUCUAUGGCGUGCCACUGCUGGGCUGGCCGUGCCACACCGAGCAGAGCAUGAAUUGCAAGCUCGUGGAGGACUGGAAGAUCGGGCGGCGGCUCUCGGAUGAUCAGGACGUGGCGCGCGGGCGAGUGGAGGAGGUAAUCCGGGAUUUCUUGGAAGGGCAGGGCAUGGGCGAGAUCCGGGCCAGAAUGGCGGCGCUCAGGAGCACGGUGCGCUCCACGACCGACCAAGGGGGAACCUCUCACGGAAACCUCAAGAGAUUCGUUGACGCGGUCAAUGUGUCCGCCAUAGCUGGCACCACUUGGCAUGGCACGAGCCGCCCAUGUGGCAGCCCUAAGAACGACGCCACGUAGCCAAAGCCACGUGGCUGUUCAGUUUGUUUUAGUAACGGGGUUAAUUAACUUUAACCAUUGCUAGUUUAACUCCAAGAGGUUUUGCGCAAAGAGGCGCUUGUGCACCCAAUACACGAUCAAAUCCGCCGUGAGUUUCUUCUCGUCGAUCAAGAAUGGCUCCACGGUGCUGGGAGGUGAUCCAUAGGCAGACACCGAAAAUCCUCUAGCACCUUUUUGUUCCAAAAGUUUUGAGUGUCGAUUUUGAGUGCAAAAUGGCAGAAUCCAUGCACGUACCUUCCAAGCUCGCGUCUGGGAAGUAGGCCCAGAAUGUGUAUGGAAUGCCGAGCUUCGAGAAAGAGCCCCUUAGCUGCGAUUGCAAAGUGGUGAUUGGCAAGGAUAUCGCGAUCUCAAGAGGAGACGAACCUGGUCGUUCUCGAAGCAAACUUCUACGUCGGCUAGGUUCUCUUCCUUCGCCAGUUUUGCUUGGAGACGCGGAGCGACGUCUUCUACCAUGAGAGCUGGAUAAGUCUUGGCUGCGGGCUUCUUUGGCUUUGGCUUUGGCUUUGCUGCGGGCUUUUCCGGCUUUUCCUUUGCCGGGGGAGGAGGAGGAGCCUCCUUGCCUGUGUUUUGCGAGCACACGAAUGAACACGAAUGAACUAGCACGAGACAUGGAAGAACUUGUAUCAAACCUGGGGCAGACUCCGCUACGAUGAGCUCGUUGUUGAAGCCACCGGUACCAUCGGAUGCCAUCGGAGAGUCCGGCGAGUGCAUCCACUGGCCAUCCACGAUGAACUUGUACUUGUAUGAUCCCGGAGCUAGCUUCUGGAAACAAUUAGACCCAUGACAGUCUAAUUGCAAGAACUUCGAAGUAGAACUUACUUGCUUGAUCUGAAAUGUACCAUCCGGGCUCUUCUCAAGAGGGACUUGCUUUUGCCACUCGAGGAAGUCGCCGGUGAGCAGCACCUCGGAAGCUUGGCCCUUCCAAGCAAAGAUUAUAUCCUGUGUCACCACUGUACGUGUCUUCCAUCGCACGCACGCACUGGCAUCAGCUGUAUGAUGGACCAAAACUUCCUCGCAAAGUUCUAGACUUACAUGUGGAAGUGGAAGUGGAUGGCCCGUCCGCUACGCUCGCACGCAGCGAUUGUAUGCUCCUCGCCUCCUUUCUUUCUGGCAAACCAAAGCCCUUCGAAUGCCGCAGCUCGAAUCUGAGUAGUGUGCAGCGGCACGGCCUGAUGAGCUGCGUAGCCUCGUGCGGACUAGCAAAGUACGUCAAUCUGCUGCAAGCGGUGGCAGCCAUAGCCACACGAGCUUCGAGGCUGGAGCUGGAGCUCCACCUCCACCUUUACGAGAUAAGUCUGCACUUCCAAGUGGCAACAUGUUAGCCACACUCCCAAAUCAGCAUUUCAGUUUAUUAACCUCGUCAUUACCAGACUGGUACCCAAUCCAGAGGACUGGGAAAUCCAUCUCAGCCCGUUAGUCACGUCGAAACAAAACAUCUUAGUUGCUGUGGUCCCCUUGGGAUUUCCUGGCAUUGAUAUGUGACGGUGCUUUGCUGCAAACCAGCAGCCAGCUUGUUUGCACGGUCACCGCAGAGAAGCUUGAGGCUUACCUCUUGUGUGGGAUUGCAGCAUGAAUUCACAGUCGUAGCUAAAGUUCUAAACAUCCAGCGCCAAAGGUACGCAAGCUUCUUCUCUCCCAGAGUUUGACGAACUCUUCUUCCAGCCAUGGGUGCUACACCACAAGAUCAAACCGCACACGUUGUUCUCGUCCCAUACCCGGCUCAGGGUCACAUUCCACCGAUGAUCCAUCUCGCGCGAAAGCUAGCUGCCAACGAGAUCAUCGUCACGCUGGUUAACGUGGACAGCGUCCACAAGAUGCUCCUCAAGCAAUGGAGCUGCCCACCGGGAUCGGACAUCCGGCUGGAGCAAGUCGAGUGCGGCCUCAAGCUCCCGGCCGGGGUGGACGCGUCGUGCCUCGAGAACCCGGAAGCUCUCUUUGACGCAGUUGACAGCCUCAAAGCUCCGGUGGAGGAGCUCGUACGUGAGCUCACGCCAACUCCUUGUUGCAUCGUUGCCGACUUCUUCCUUGGCUGGCCCCUCGAGCUGGCCAGGACGCUAGGCACCGGUUCCGCAAUCUACUGGCCUGGAAACGCAGCAUGGAGUUCACUCCACCACCAUAUGAAGCUGCUCGAGGCCCACGGCGAUCUCUUCUGCCAAGGCAAGCCAAAGUUCUUGUCAGUAGUAGUCAACCAAGUUUGUGAAAUCCAUGCAGGAGAGAGGGAGGAGGACAGGAUCAUCACGUACAUCCCUGGAGUUCCCGGCCUGGAGUACGGUGAUCUUCCGGAGUACUUCAAGCGAAAGCUCGGGAGCCCGAGUCGCCGGCUUCUCUUCGACUACGACCAGGAUCGCAUGAAGCACUGCGAGUGGAUCCUCGUCAACAGCAUGGCGGAGCUGGAGCCCGAGACGUUCCACGCGAUGCAAGCGGCGCUGCCAGCCAGCAAGUUCGCUGCGAUCGGGCCACUCUUCCCAGUCUCCCACCACGAAUCGCCAGCAGCGCUCAAGGGAGUGAGCCUCCGAGACGAGGAGCAUGGCUGCCUCAAGUGGCUCGACACGCGCGCCGAGAGCUCCGUGCUCUACGUCUCGUUCGGGAGCAUCAGCGUUCUCUCGGAGGAUACGUUCCAGGAGAUCGCCGCGGGGCUGGAGGCUAGCGAGCAGGCGUUUCUCUGGGUGAAUCGCGAGGAUCUGGUGAAGAGGAGCGCCACUCACGACGAGUUCUACGCGGGGUUUCUGGAGAGGACGCGCGAGCAAGGAAUGGUCGUGUCGUGGGCGCCGCAAGUCCGAGUGCUAGCGCACUCCUCCAUCGGAGGAUUUCUCUCGCACUGCGGCUGGAACUCGACGCUGGAGAGCAUCUGCUAUGGCGUGCCACUGCUGGGAUGGCCGUGCCACUCGGAGCAAAGGACCAACGCCAAGCUGGUGGAAGAGGACUGGCGAGUGGGGAAGAGACUGUGGCGGCGAGGCGAUGGAGACACGGUGACCCGGGGUGUCGUGGAGCAGCGGAUUACUGAAUUCAUGAGUGGAAUGGACAAGGAGGAGAUAUGGGCGAGAGCGAAAGAUCUCAAGAAUGUGGCCCGCGCUACUGCCAAUCCAGGCGGGAACUCCCACGAGAAUCUGGCAACGUUUGCGCGAGCAGUGAAGACGAUGACGAUGGGAGACUAACAGCGAAGCCUCUGCCACAGGGAAUCUUCUCUGUCUGGGAUAGCUCCUCUUUCCUCCAUAAACCCUAAUCUAUGAGACAUGAGCUUUAUUUGUUUGCCCAGCUCGUGAGGAAGUGCCGUAAUGCCAGGGAUCUCUUGCAGGGCAAAUGCGUCCACGCGCAAAUCCUCGAGAGUGGGCUCAUCCACGAGCGAUUUCUUGCGAAUCUCCUGGUUGAAAUGUAUGGCAAGUGCGGCAGCGUGGAGGAAUCCAGAGCUGUGUUUGAUGGGAUACAGGAGCCGAAUCUUUUCUCCUGGACAAACAUGCUUGCAGUGUAUGCCCAGAGAGGGGAUUUGCAGAAAGCGAAGGAGAUUUUUGGUAAGAUGCCUGAGAAGGAUCGAGUCGCCUGGAAUGCGAUGAUUCAAGCUUACGCUCGAAGCGGCUGUUUUGGAAAAGCCAAAGAGAUGUUUGAUGUCAUGAGCAAUCGCAAUGUUGUGUCGUGGACGACUGUUCUUGCAGCACUUGCCCAAGAAGGGAAUUUUGAGCUUGCGAAAGACAUGUUCGACAGAAUGCCGCGGCGGGAUUCCGUGUCAUGCAACGCGAUGAUGGAUGCUUGUGUACAAAGCCAAGAUUUUGAAAGAGUUCGAGAGAUGUUUUUUAGUAUGUUGGAGAAGGACAUAGCAUCUUGGACUACAAUCUUAGCAGCAAAUGCCCAAGUAGGCAAUUUUUCUUUUCUGCUCCAGCUAUUUCACAAGAUGCCGCUACACAACGCUGUGGCUUGGACAAUUCUUUUCCUCGCUUAUGCUCACAAUGGCGAUCUUUGCAUGGCCAGAAGAAUCUUCUCUAUGCUUCCGGAAAAGUCUCUUGUGGAGUGGAACGCUCUCAUCCAAGCAUAUGCCCAAAACGGGCAUGCCAAGACCACGCUCGAGCUCUUUAGCUUCAUGGCGAUGGAGGGAAUCGCCCCAAACUCCGUCACCUUUCUCACCCUCCUCGCCGCUUGCAAUCACAUUGGCCUCGUCGAGAUUGGCCGCUGGUACUUCCUCUCGAUGAUCCAAGACCACCACCUCGUCCCCAGUCACCAGCACUUUUGCUGCAUGAUCGAGCUCCUUGGUCGAUCCGGGAGGCUUCGCGAGGCGGAAGAAUUCGCUGCUUCCAUGCCCGCAGUGGAGAUGGCGAUGUCCAGAUCGCUAGUUGGAGCUUGCAACUUAAAUGGCGAGAGUGAUCGUGGAGAACGCAUUGCUAGACGAGCACUGGAGUGUGACCCCGAGAACGCUGCUCCUUAUGUGAUGCUUACCAGCGUCUAUUCCCUGGAAGAUGGUGAGAACUUCUCUUUGUAAAAUUAAUCGAUCACUUCUUGUUGAUAAAUAAUGGAUACAUGGUACAAAUGGUACACUAUAUACCUUCUUCAAGCUCUCUUCUCUAGAGGUGUGAAGAGCUUGUCGAUGGAUGAUCGUGAAGAAAGACGGUGGAAGUCUCGAUGGGCUGGGAGCUGUGCACUUCCAGCUCCAAAUGAUCCGGUGACGACUGGCUGAGGAGAUCCUGCUGCUGCUGCUGGUUCUUUGUCCGGAGGAGAUUUCUCGAAGACGACGAGAGGAGCGCCACUUCUCUCGAGCUCAAGUUCCUAUGCCUCAGGCUGGAUCGCGGGGACUCUUGCUGGCUCUCAGAAACUUCUACAAUGUUUGGAUUGCACUGUGACGACGCAGUUCUUGUCUUUGUUUGCUGCUCAGCCGCUGCCUCGAAAGCAGAGAUGACGAGCACGCUUCCACAGCGCUUGGCUUCAUCAUAAGGAGUACGGCCCCAUCUGUCAGUAGAAGCGUGAGUGAUCGAUCGCUUGCCAGAGGAGCGGACGUUCGAAAGUACCUGUCCUUGUAGAAGAUGCUGGCCCCAGCAUUGAUAAGGAACUUGACAAACGAAUUCAAGCCUUCGGCCGCAGCGACAUGCAAUGCGGUCCUUGAGUAAUAAUCUGCCGCAUUUGGAUCCACUCCAUGGUUUAUUAGACGCUUGAGGAGUUCUAAGUUGUUCUUUACCACCGCGCGGAUGAGCAUGUUUCCGGGGUAAGUUAAGUUGAGCCUGGCUCCCCUCUCCACAAGGAUGCUUGCUGUGUAGUCGUGUCCACCUUUGAUGGCUUCGAGCAACGGGCUGUUGCCUAGAUUAUCUGCGCACCCAAAUGAUCGUUUAGAUUGGAAGUACGCUGGACUGAGAAGAAAAAUACCAAGAGCGUUUAUGUCUGCUCCUUCUCUCAACAGCAACGAGACGAUGUCGUCGUAGCCUUUAGAAGCUGCAAGGUGCUGCAAGACUUGAUCCUGAUGAGCACACAACAAAGAAUCAGCGUCAAUGAUUUCUUACGAGAGGCGUUUUCCCAACGUAGUCGGACUUCACAGGAUCUGCUCCCGUUCGUAUCAGGCUGCGCAGAUAAUACAAGUCGCCUUGAAAAGCAGCGUUGUUCAUUCUCAACGUCAGCUCUGACUGCUGGUGCCCCAGUUGCGAUUGAAUCUCGUCAGUGAGCUGACUUACUCGAAAGUCUCCAGUUUGUUGCUAAGAAACAGAUAAAGGAAAACACCUGAGGAACAUGCUUGGAUAAUGAAGGUUUUCGUACCUUGAGCAGAUUGUUGAGAACUUGGCGACUGUCGACGGCAUAGAUUUGCAUUAUGUUUGUAAGCACAUGCUUGUCCAGCCUUAGUAGCGCGCUCAGCUCCGACACACGGACAGUAUACGGCUGAGGGAUGUUGCAAAGCACAGCAACUUCCCCGAAAAUGUUAUGGUCCUCGACUGUAAAGACUUCCUCAGAGCCAUCUUCUGCAACAGAAACAACUUCCUGAGAAGGAAGUUUUUAAAACGAGAAAAACUUGUUUAGUCAAAAAGCACAGGCCAGAAAUCCAAAACCACUUGCCAGCAGUCCAUGCGACACAAUGUAGAGCCUAUCUGCAGCACUCCCUUGCUCCAUUAUCAUUUCUCCUGGCAAAAAGUAUUCCUUGUGUACGUUGCUUACCUGCGUCAGUGGUGAACGAACAAAAUCCUAUCAGAAUCCAAGAGUCAGAAGCGAAACAAACUUACAAUCUGGUUGAUAAACUCGUUUGAGCAGCUUUUAAAAAGUGGCACGUCCGCAACCGUAUCAAGGUACAGGGCCUGAGAGACCUGGAAGCUCACAGAUUCUUUUUAGUAUCAAACAAGUUGGUUUUGUUUUGACUACCUUGGCACGAAUAGAAGCAGGGAAUUCCUUCAUCACUGUCCGUUCUGCAAGCUGCCCUUCAAACUCGAGCCGGACGUGAGCUUUCAUUUGCUGCCUCAGGUCCCUUGGAAGGCUGUGCAUGUUCAUAAACUUGAUAAUCCCCGCCAUCCGGUCCCGAAACUUCUCGGUGCUCGACCCUCUCACUAUCAAUCCCGUCAUGUUUCCAAUAAGAUAUGCUCCCAGGAUCAUGUCAAACGAAACAAAGAUCAUAACGAAAACCAUCUCCCUGACGUUCACGGCAUGAAUAUCUCCAUAGCCUUGCGAAACAACGAAUAAUUAAUCACGAAACUUUGCAACGAUCACAGAAAAGAAUCCACGUACCAACAGUCGCCAUGGUGAGAAUCGCCCAGUAGAGCGCGGUGACGUAACGCUUCAAAAGAUCAAUCUCGUGGAAGUUGUGGUAGGAAAAAUCGCCAAGCGUGAGGCUGCCGAUCCAGGUGUAGGAUUCCUGCGAGUGUGCCAUGGUUGUUGCGAGGUAGUAGAAGAUGCAAGCAGCCGUGUGCGUGCAGUAGAGCUCCACCGUUAGCAGUUUCGCAAUCCUCGCCACAAAGUAGUGGACGCGAAUGUCCUUCUCCAGCCUCUUAAAGAAACGCUCCACUUUGCGAACUCUAUACAGCCGGAUCCACAGCAUGUAUCGGAUCUCCUCGUGUCUUCCACAAGCCUGAGAAAAAAAGAAGAAAAAAAACGAAAAAAAAAAGAGAAAAGUUUUGAGCGAUCUUCGCGAAGAAACUCCUGGUGUGGUGUGUGGAGUGAGCCAUUGGUUACCUUGUACAGUGCAUCCCAGGGCAGGCACGCCAGGAAAUCUGGGAUGAGAUCCGUCUUUCCAUACCUGCCAAGCGAUUCACCAUCCAAGAACACUGGAAGGAAAUAUCUUUUUACCUCAAAGCGAUCUUCUUGUGGUCCGUGAUCGUCUUGUAGGUGUGGGAAUCCUUGAAGGCCACGAAGAAAUUGAUGACAAUGUCGGCCAGGAAGAUCACCUGGACGACCAUGUCGAAGACCCCGACGCGCCAGGGCAGGCCGCGAAAGAAGCCGAAUUCCAUGGGCGUGAAGAAGGAGGAAUACGCCGCCGACACCAGGAUGAAGGUCGUCCACCAGUGAUGCCAUCUGCGAGUCGCGCCCACUCAGUGAGUGAUCCUCGCCGCGAUCCACCGAUCGGUAUCGAUCGAUCGGGAGUGGAAGAAAUAUUUCCAAGAAAACGCUCUUACCGCGACUCGGGCAGAAUGACAUGGAGCCUUAGGGCUUUAAGCGCCGAGCUACUGGCUUGCCAUUCCCUGAUGUAUCGCGACACUCGCGAUCGAUUGCUCCCAUUGCCCUCGUACCCCUCCCGCUCGAGCCUCGGUUCGUCCUCGUCCAUGGGCGAUACAUUCCAAUCGCUGGAGCUCCAGGAUCACAAAUUCCCCUCUUUGGAGGAUCGACACUAUUGAUCGAUCACAAGAUCGUGAGCUUCUCGAGCUCCAAGCGCCGGAUUCAUGUGUGGCGCACAAGUACGAGAUCACGGGGAAAGCCUUCCAGCCCGUUUCAGUGCUUUGUCGCAAAUUAAGUAGACAAUGCCAUGAAAGCUUAGCUGGACGCUGAUGUGGCACGUGCGUGGAGCUUGCGUGGCAUGGUCGUUAUUAGCCGCGAGGUUAAGACUAAACAGGACUGUAUCAUUUGACUUCCCGUACCAAUCAUGCGCGAGGGAAUCUACGGAUCCAGUGGACUCGGCGGACAGAAUCUCCUUGUGCUAGAUAUCUUAGUCGAGAAUCUCGUGACAAUUCGACACCCACUUUCUAAUUUUUCCACUCGGCUGAAGUUGAGGUUGAUCGAUUGAGAUAAACGGCUUGUCGAUCCCUGCAAGGGCCAAAGCUUACAAAAUCACGCCAAUCAUAUGCCAAUCGUAAUCAUGGUUUGAGCAUAGAUGUUACAAAGUACAAACCCAACUUUCAACUAACAAUGAUGUGUGAUUCGUAGAAAGCAUGAACUGAAAAUCAAAAUCGGCAAGCUUUGUCCAUGAAUGCCACUUCGUAUUUCAUUAGAAACUCUAGAAUGAAUUAUGUAAAGGUUAUUAACUUAUUUGUUGAAUGAUUAAUAAUAUAGCUGUUAAAACCAUUUGGAUCAUUAUGUAGAAUAUACUUAAGAUUUAAUCAUUUAAACAUUCAAAGAGCACUAAUUAUUUAUUUAUUUAUUUAUUUAUAUGCAUAGCUAGCUCCAAAUUUACAGAUACUUAGCUAUAGCUAUAGCGAGCAACCUUGAGCUCAAGCUCUUAAGACUUCGGAAUGAUCACACGCAAAAACCCGUCGCUGCAAAGCACACGAGAGAGCAUUUAGAUCAGAGAGGAAUUGAGCCAAAACUUUCUUACAUAAACUCGGCAGUGGCUCCAUUCAAGUUGGCGUUCUUGGGCACACUCCACACCGAGCGGUAGGGGCCGUAGGAAAUAUCUCGCCGGUGAUAAACCCUGCAGUCGCUCUCGGAACUCUGAGUGAAAGACUGGGAGCUCGACCACCACUCCCUGGAGCGAAAUCCAGUCACUACAAGCCUGUCCAUCCAGCGUUUGGUAAAACGAUGAAACGAGAAAGAAGAAACUUAGAGAAGAGCAUCACCUUCCACGGUCGAUCUCCACUCGAAUUCCUUCGGCGUUUACACCUGGUAGCUCCACCGUCACAAUGUGCUCGGAGUCGGACUCCGUGACAUCCAUGCGAGGAGACCACUCAAAGCCUCGGAUGGAAGUCUCGCGUUUUUCUUCUUCGUGCAAAAAAGGAGGAAGAGACCAUUGCAACUUAUGGAUCGAGAAGAACCAGAUGGAAGUACCUGAAGCCUCGGUAACAGGACGAGAGCUCUUGAUUUGUGCCGCAUGCUUGGACGCGGGCCUCGCAAAGAGUGGAGUUUCAUCUUCACGAGACUUCACUACUUUGCUGCUGGAGAACUCCUCGUCUUCUUUUUUGGCACAGUCGCCACUGAUUUUGCUAGUGUUCUUGGAAAGACUCGCUCGGCUCUCGCCAUCCGGCAUCACCUGAAGAAAGAAAUUCACGGAAUCAUAGAACGGAAAUGGAAACAAAGGAAGAACAUCGCAUUUUUUUCUACGUACCUGUUUUAACUCGGCAGGUCGCAUGAAUUGUCCUCUUGCUUCGGCCCCUUGCCUCGCAAACAUGAGCAUGCUAUCGCGACGAUUUCCCGAAAAUGCGGGGGUGGAGGAACAUUCCUGCGAAGAAAUUCCCAAUUCCAAUUUCCACAUCCAAUUCAGCCUAAAGACUCACCGAUCUAACGAUCAAAGGGCCCGAUUGAAGCCGCAACCCGUCCUCGAGAUGGCACGCCAGGUGAUACAUCCUCGCGCGCGCCUUCUCAUCGAGAUCCAUCUCAAAUUUUCACCGCCAGAGAGAUCGAUCAGCGAGCUAGAGUGCUUACACCGGAGAGAAACCUAGCGAAGAUCUUCCAGAUAUUUAGGGAAGAUCAUAUGAGCCACGUGGAAGUGUUUUAUUAACGCAUUUUUAGGGUUCUUCGUCCAUAAACCCUAGCUCGUCUUAUCACAAAAAAAUGAGGGGUUCACAAAUAGAUCCUCGCGAUCGCUCUUUGCCGGCGCGCAUUGGCUCGAAUUCUAGGACUCGACAAUUCAUCGCGAAUGUCCUCUUGUCUCGGAUCGCGCUGGCGGUAAGCUGAUUCGCGGCAUUGCGAGAUUUUGAUGGCGAGCGCAAUGGCGUUUGGCUGGCCAUACCAAUGGCAGUCCGGAGGAGGAGGAGGGGUGGAUGUAGUCGUCUCUUCGCAGCAACAUUCUCGCAGGCUCAGGAUUUUCUCUCCGGCAUUUAGAAAAGGAGCCGAAUUGCUGGUCACCGAGGACCAGAUUUCGCUGGAGAACACGUUUGUAGCACUGGAAUCGUCACUGGAAGGCCUGGAAGUGCCUAGGCUCGGGGAAGCUCCCGUGGAGGCCGAGAUAGCUUCCACGAGCUCAAAUGGUUCCACUCAGGUGAUCGAAGAAAAAACUCCCGAAAGAAGAAAGAAGGAGUGGACUGGUCCGAUCAGACCUCGCAAACAUCCUCCACUUCCGCCAUGGACGGAAGCACAGUGCCGAGAGAAGCAAACGGAGAUUCUAAACGAGCUCCUCGCCAACGAUCAGCUAGAGGGAGGCGGGCUUCCAGUGGCGACCAUCCUCGAUGGAUGGCUGGGAAAAGUUUCCAGAGUGGACCUCGCCAACGUUAUCAAGGAUCUGGACGCUCAAGGCAAGCACGCACUGCUGCUCGAGGUGUUCUACUGGAUGCAAAGAUGCAAAGGAAGGCUGGUUCCAAAGGCACACCUUUGCAACAUGGUGCUGGGCAUUUUGAGCCGGGCUAGAUUGAUAGAGGACGCCGAGGAGCUCUUCCAGUGGAUCAAGCUCCAGGACUGGGAUAAGCUACGUCCAUACAAUGCGAUGAUAGCAGCAUACUACCAGGCAAAGAGGCCCAAGGACGCCUGGGAUGUUUACUACCAAAUGCUCGCGGAAGGCAUCGAUCCAGACGACGUUACUUACGACAUUCUUGUAAGUGGGAGUGGAAAGAAUGGCUAUCCGAUCGACAGGCUCUUCUUGGAGAUCAAGUCUAGAGGGGUGGCGCUCACGUUACGAUCAUACAACGUCGUGAUCUGCGCGUUCACGAAGGAAGGAAGCAUUGACAAGGUGGAGGAAGUGAUCCGCGAGAUGAUACGGCAAGAGCUCCGGCCGGAUUUGUUCUCGUUCAACGCCUUGAUCGCCGCAUACGCCAUGUCCAGGAAGCCGGAGAGGGGACUACAGGUUUUCAGCAACAUGAAAGCCGCGGGUGUUCUUCCGGACAUCGUGACUUACACCACGCUGAUACAGAUGUUUAGCCGGAGCGCCAUGCACAAGGAAGCGAUCGAAAUGUUCGAGGAGAUGGUGGUGAACAAGUGCCAGCCGGAUUUCUUCGUCUACAGCCUGCUCGUCAGUGUCUACGGCAAAGCUGGUCUUGUGGCGGACGCUCUCCUGAUAUUCCACAGGCUUCAGCUGGAAGGACACAGGCCGAAUAUCGUCACCUACACGUCCCUAAUCUCCGCGCAUCUCCACAAAGGCUUGCUCGAGGAGUCACGCAAGCACUUCUCACAGAUGGAAGCGUAUGGAUGCCGAGCCGACGUCCAUCUUCUAAACACAAUGAUUGACGCGUAUGCCAAGGCCGGGAUGGUGAACGAUGCUGCUAACUUGCUGCACAGACUCACGGCUCAGGGAGUCUGUCCGAACAGAGCCUCGUAUGCCAUUAUCGUGGAGGGAUUUCUUCAUGCCGGACAUGUGGAUGAGGCUCUUGCGGCAUACGCAUCGAUGUCCGAGGCCGGUUUCAAGGAUGAGAAGAUGAGCUCCAGGAUCUCCAGAAGAAGCAGUCCGAGGAGAUGAUAUCAUUUUUGACACAGGUACGAGCUUUUCUUUCUUUUUCUCUCAUUUCUGGCGAGCAUUUGCUCUAGGAUAACUCUCGACUCAAGAGCCCUGCGAGUUUGUCUAGCUUGUUGGUACCACCAAAGCUUACCGGUAGACCGAAUUUUGUUUGUUCAUCGGAGACAAGAGUACUAACGCUAACACUUUCAGGUCGAUCGUCUGGGAUUUACUCCCUGCUAAGGAUAUGGUCCAGUGACAUUGCCGGAUUGUCGAGCCUAUGGUGUCGUUUAAAAGCCGCUGGACGCAUCGAAAGACUCUCCAGGUACUCGGAGGCUCUUUUCUUUUUUUCCUCCUUGUUAGGCACAGCGUUCUUUUCCUUUUGGAAAAAGAUCUAACCUUUGCUACUACUGAUUUUGGCUUGCCAGAAGCUCCAGAAACAUCAUUCUUUGAGAGCUCGUGCUUGUCAACCAUGUAACGAUCAAACUUUUACAUUUUCUUUGCAAGAAUCGAUUCAACGAGCGCUGUAGCCGGAGUUGUUUUCAUUCCAGAGAAAGCACUCGAUCGUUAUCAAUCAUCCAGAGCCCAGAUUAGCAACGAAACAGCGGCCAAACUAUAUAUUAUUUCCUGCCUGCUCUUUCGUCCACUCAGGCCCAAUCCAUCCACGUCUGGAACACUCUCGAAUUUCAAACCUCACGUAAAGAAGCAUAGAAAGAUGGAAGUAUUGUCAUCAAAUAUAUGAUUCUUAAUGCUCGAGAAACCCGUCAUCUUGCACAGGGGUGGUGGUAAUUGCUUGCAUCCCGGGAGAGAAGAAACAAAAACAUUAUCUUAGAGAGGUGGAGGGGAGGAGGGAGAGAUUCAUGUGUGUGGGCACAAAGACGACGUCGAUCGAUCCAUUAAGCUUGCUCGGCUCGCGCGCUGGAGCUGGAGCUGGAGCUUCUAGAGCUCUAGGUUGGCUUGAAGACGAUGAAUCCCGCGCAUUGCACUUGCCUGACCCGGUCGAAUCCCAGCACUCGAAUGAAGCUAGUGGGGAAGUCCUUCUUGCACUCCUCGAUCUCCCUCAACACCUGGGCGGAAUCUUGGCAGCCAAACAUGGGGAGCUUGUACAUGGUCCAGUAGCGGCCAUCGUAGCAUCCCGGGCUCUUGUGGCAUUCGCGGUACACGUAUCCUUUCUGCAAAGAGAAAGAGAGACAGAGAUUCGACCGAAUCCUCGCGAUUUCAGUGCUUGUUCUCGCCAAAAACCAAUGGAGUUUGAUGGCGAGAGGAGCUUACGUCGGAGAAUUCCAGGCAGGGGAACCAUCCCUUCUUCAACAUGUAGUCGAUCUCCUUGGCGAUCUGGUCGGGCGAGAGAUCCGGGAGGUACGACAGCGUCUCAAACCUGGGAUUGUUGUAAGGCGUCCAUGUCUGGGGAGGGGGUCAAGGAGGAGGAGAUCAGUUCUCUCUCUUGCUUGGGAAUGUGGAGCUCCAAGCUUGGAGCGAUUGAUCGCGCGCGAGAGAGGCUACUCACCAGCAUGCAGCUCACACGGCUCCCAUUGGCGACGGUCUUCUGGCUCCAUUGGAGUCCUCCCUUGUUGGCAGUGAGAGCCGUGGUGGCCUUGAGACCUGUGAAUCCGGGGACCUUGGGAGCCAUCGGGGUGGAGAGCGCGGCCAUUGGGAUCACAGCGGACGAUGCAGCCCCCGCCACCAUGGUGGAUUAGAGGAUUGGGAGCUCGAGAUAGGGAGGGGGAGAGAGCAAAGCCAAGAGCAAUGUAGGGCUCUUGGGAGAUGGGUAUAGAUAAAUACUUCGAGAGAGGGAUGCCACGAACCACACACGGGAAUCCUCUCCAGGGCCAGAUAGAAAGUGGAGGGAGAGGAGAGAAGGCUGGCGCGCCCACCGCAAGAGGACGAUAAGACGCGCCAAUGAACGCCACGUGGCGGGGUGCCUAGGCCGCAUAUUCAGGAUAUAGCUGAAGGCUGAUCAAGUCCAUGAAAGUUGACUAGGGCAGGCGUGGCACGGGACCUUGAUUGACUUGGUCAACAAGGGUCAAGGCAAUCAUGUUGACUUUGUUUGCACAGCAGGGCUGUUGUGUUGCCGCCCAGCGCACAUUAUCACCCCGGAUUUAAAAUCCUGAAGCUUAAGCCUGCUGGAUCUAUAGAUUGCGGAACAAGGGGAAGAAAGAUUGGAUUAUAUCUCUACUGUUCUUUCGUGAUCGAUUCAACUCUCUCUACUUCUGUUCUUAAUUUACUCCAAUUGUGUUCUUUCGUGAUCUUCAAAUGGAGAGAUCGAAUUCUCGUCGGGCAUUUGCUGCUCCUUUCAUCGUCUUGGCAGUGGUGGUGAUGGUGAGCUCGGCCUCGCAGGAGCCCAAGCGCCCAUCGUCCGUGAGCUUCUACAUGCACGACACGCUCCAGAACAAGACCCAUCCAUGGACGGACACGGCGGUGGAGGUGGCCGGACCACACCACAACCUCACGGGCCUCGGCUUUGGCAAGAUCAUCGUCUUCAACGAUUCACUCACGGAUGGGCCGUCGCUGGCGAGCUCCAAGGUCGUGGGAAAGGGUCAGGGCGUCUACAUCUACGACCACACUCAGGCCGGGGUGGCGUUCAACGCUCUGCUCCUCUUCUCGGCGCUCAUCGAGACGGGCGAGUACAACGGGACGAUCAACUUCAUGGGCGCGGACGUAAUCUUGGCGCCAUCGCGGGAUAUCAGCGUCGUGGGCGGGACGGGCGACUUUGAGAUGGCUCGCGGCAUCGCCACGAUCACGACGCACUCGAUCGAUGGGGACACUUUCAUCGUCCUGUUCAAGAUCAAGCUCAUCUACUGGUAAGCGAUUUGUUUGUACUAAUCAAGUUUGGGUGUUUUCUGGUUGUACGAAAGUUACAUUCUCAAAACAAUUUUUUCUUCCCUCUCGAGAGUUCUAAUAAGGAACGCUAGAUUUUUUGACCUUGCGUCUCCACCUACAACAUAGAUGAUGGCGAGCGUGCACGCUCACUCCUUUUCUUAAAAGUCAAGCUUUUACGUCAGUGUGAGCGAAGCUCAAAUGAUAACCCAGUGUGAGCAAAGAUCCAUGAUAGCGCAUUCAUCCAAGAACGAGCAAACCGGACACUCACUUAAAAUCCAAGCAAAGCCAAGCGAUCACCCAUCCAUGUCACAGCUACAAAUUUUCCACCAAAGUUAUUAUCAAGUGUUACAACCAUAGGAGAGGAAGACCUGUGCUUUAGCGCCGGCGUGAGGAUCUACACGCCAAGCAAACACACGCCUCCAUAUUAGCCAUAGUAAUCUUUCAAUUCCAUGAGCGAUCUUCUCCUUAGUUCUUGCCGCAAGUGCACACGCCCGUCUGUGCGCACUUGUCGCAGGUAUCGGUACCCACGGUGCGGUUCUUGCCGCAAGUGCAAACCCCGGUUUGAGCGCACUUGUCGCAAGUGUCCACGCCCUCCACGCGGUUCUUCCCGCAGGUGCAAACCCCGGUUUGGGCGCACUUGUCACAGGUUGCCACUCCAACCGGGGCGGCAAA
rnacentral:lncRNA from 1 species